AAGGAAAAGGAAACUUGACACUAGGGUUCUUGAGAUGUUGAAUACUAAAUGAAGUAAAGGCAGCACCCAUGGUGAUGAAUUCGAUGGAUGGAAAAUUUUGCAAUGAAGCUAGAGAGGGCGCCCAUGGUUGAAGAAAAUCAUAUAUGAGCAAAUCUGGGCUUAGGGUUUUGAGGAUGUUGGAGAAGUUGUUGCUGGACAUAUCAAAGGCCCUUUUGAGAGUGGACAUGAGAUGGGGAGGGAGGCCAUUGGUGGUAUGGUAGUGAGGUGGGAGUUCAGGCAAGUCAUCAUGUGGAAGAUGGAGUUCCACAAAUUCAAUGCAAUGAGAAUAUUUUUGGGAGAGUUUAGGCUUGAUGGAGCUGAGAUUUACAGGCGUGGAACAAAUAAAGAUGUGAAAAUUUCUCUUGGUGGUCAGCUUCUUGGCUAGCUCUAGGUAGGGAGAUAUAUGGCCGUGAGCUAGCCAUGGAAGCAUAAGAAUAGUAAGUUUUCUUUGGUCAGAGUAAACCAUAUUUUGUUUUCCUUUCACUCUUUUGCUUGAGGUUGCUCGAUUAUAGGCUUAUUGGUAGUUUUUUUGUAGCUAGCUCUAUGCAUAUAUAUAUAUAUAUACACACACAUUCAUGGGAAAAGAGGCUUGGGGAUGGGAAAUCAAUUGAUUUCCUAUGUUUGGUAAAGUUCGGGUAUGAGAAAUCGUUGCUUUGCACAUGAGAAAGUAGAGGGGAAAGUGAAGCCCUCCUCCUUCCUUAGGUUUUGUUUUCCUCCUCAUGGGAAAGUUUGGGAAAAUGAGCUAAUAUUAAAUACAUAUUUUUCAUGACCAUAUUAUCCCCAUUAAUAAUUUAGAAUUACAUAAAUGCAUUCUAUUUUUAUUUGAUUUCAUAUGGGUAUAAUUGAAAAAUUAAACAAAUUUUGUUUUACAUUCCUACACAAACCAAACAUGUGAAAGGAAAUAAAGUGGUAUUUCUUGGUUACUUUCCCAAGAUUACCAAACAUAGGAAAGGAAUCUCUAUUUCCCAUCCCUUAGAAAAUGACUUGGAAAGUAAUUUCUCCUCAAAUUCGUUCCGUGAACCAAACGGAACCUGCAUAAUAGAAGUUCCAAAAAAACACGUGAUGAUUGGAUCAUGCAUAUGUAAGUUCCCGAGUGAUGAUUGGAACAAGUUCCUAAUGAUAAAGACUCGAAACAAGAAUAGUUUAAACUUUCUUCUUUGUUUGGCUUGAUAUAAGACGAAUGCACCAAACAAACCGACUAAUUGCUGGCACAAUAUAAAUUGGGGCUACAAUUACCUAAUAAUUAGGUACUAAGGGCUACAAUUACCUAAUAAUAUCAACUUUCAUUAUACAGAUUUGAGAAACAAAAAGUUCAACUUUGAUGACAAGCGAUAUUAAAGGAGGGCGUAAUCAAACUUAGGAUCUUGAGUGUAGAAAUAAAUACUUUUAACAACUUGAGCUACAAGCCUUUUGUAAUAUUAAUGAUAUUUUAAUUAUACGUUUGAAUAGUUCGCUUCCUUCUCUUUUAUUUUCAUUUGUUUAUAUUUAACUCUAAUUUUAUUUAUAUUUUUGGUCAAGGUAAAAAGACUUUGAAUCUCUCUCCAAUGAUUUUCACAGCCGAAACUCCUUUAGUUUCCACAAAUAUUUUUUAAUAUUUCAUGCAUUUGUAAGUUUCCGACUCGGAUGGUUCAUGUAACCAAGAAGUUUAAACUUGUUUUUGCUUGUUCCGCCGACGAAAGCGCAACAAAAGGACAAACUACAACCAAUACUUCUAGUAUCACCAGUUCUCAUUGAAUUUGUUGCCGUGAAUGUUUAGGAUUCUGCCCAAACUAGUAUUUGCGUUUCUGAAUUGUUUGAAAACACAUAUGAAAUUAUGAUUUCUCCUCCCCAGAAGACAAAUUGACGAAGAAGUAUCAUGAUUUUGAUGACACAAAUUAGAAUCCAGGGUUUUCGAAGUGCCUAAUGGACAACUAUUAAUUUAGAAAUAUAUAUAUUUUUUUCGCAAUGCAGAAACACAUAAAUCCCAAGUUUGAAUUCAUCCUAUUUUUGUUUUUGUUUUUUCCUUUUUUAACCCAGAAGAAAAAUUGAGUGCCACUCUGCUAUGUAGAAUGCAAGUUUUAGUUUAGAUUUUUUUUUCUUUUUAGUCUCUUAUUCUACAUUUAGAUCUCAUAUAUUUACUCGCAUUUUAUUAAAUCUAAGUCAUUCAAACAAUCUGACCACUUAACAAAUUACAAGUACUCAAACUUAAAAUCAGAUUGGAUGGACAUGAGGCUUACACUGAUGAUUCUACACGUGCUGAGAAUAGUCCUUUUAUUUCUUUAUUAUUUUCUUGGUCGGGACUCGAGAGACAGGUGUAGUGUAGCGAUGGAGACGAGGCCCGCAAGACAUAAAAGUCUGAAGAAGAGAAGCGUGAAAGCUUCAUUUAGACAGUUAAGUGCAUACGUAACGUAAAGAUUCAAAGACUAUGUCCCUCUCCAAACAGGGAAAGAUCUGAGUUGAAAGCAACAAACUACAGUCACAAUAGGAAAGCAUCUACAACGUAAAGAAAAUAAGUUUACCAGAAGCAUCGGAAAGAUCUAGAGUCUGAAGAAGAGAUACUGAAGUAAUUGUUCAUCGACUGAGCUUAAAUGAAAUAUUAACUCUUUGUUGUGCCAUAAGCACAAGAUCUUAAGAAAAAAAUUCAAGAUAAACCAUAUAAUAUUUUCUAACCCACAAAAUAAUAUAGAAAAUAAAUGCAAGAACAAGAGAAUAGCAAGACACAACGAGGCUGCUUACAAUCAGUGUAAAUGAGCAAACAAAUUCACCAUCAACAAAUUAGCAUGCUUAUGAAGUGUUUUGCAACCUCACAAACCAAGGCGCCAUAUACACCAAAUGACUCUCACUGAAAAACUAAACAAAGAAACACACUCACACUAAUGAAAGCAACGUUACAAGGUAGGAGAUUGAAUAUUACAUUUACAAUACACUCAUAAGUUACAAAAACUAAUUACAAAUAUUUAGCGCAUAGGUUACAUAGAACUGAAAGGGUGGAAUGAUAAGAGCUAUGGUGGUCAUCCACCAACUCAUGCAUUUACAACACCGCCUCUUGAAUGUCCACCAUACAAUACAAUGAUAUAGUUGCGUCAUUAAACACUUUGCUUGAAAAACUAUAUGGGACAAAACUUAGGCUACGGGAAAAAGAGUGCAACACAAAUAAUAUUGAUAUCACAUUUGUCUCUCCUACGGAAUGAGCUUUGGUGAUGUUUGUAUAAAAAUUGCGUACAAACCAUUAUUGGAAGAUUGGGCUAGAGUGGGCUUUACCCUAGUGUUGACUUUGGAAAGAGACAAAUUAGGCUUAGUUGUGUAAAUUCAAUCCAAAAAAAAAUUAAAUAAUAGCCCACAUCUACAGCCAAAUACUUUAAUACUUUAAUUACUAAAGUUUUUUUUUCUUUCUCUCUCUUCUUUGGUUUAUUCAGCUUUUGAUUUGGCUCAAAUAAUGUUUAUAUCUCUCUUUGAUUUUGUUUUUUCAAAUUUAUUGAUGUUGCUUCUUUUGAAAAUUUUGAAAUAUGGACCCUCCCUAACUAAACCACUCCAUUGAGCAAAAGCCCUUGAGCUUCAAAUUUAUCUUCGUCUGAGCCUCUGAAUUUUGGUUUUUUUUAGGUUUUUUUUGUUUGUUGUAGGUUUCUUUGUUCACAUAUCUCUCUAAAAAUAGUAUUUUUCUUAAUGAAUUCUGAAAAUAGUUUUUAAUUUGAAGGAAAUAUACGGAAUUAGUAAAAAAGUAUACCACUUUCAUUAAUCUGAAGGAAAUAUUGCUUUAUAUAUAUUUGUUUAAAAAUAGGGCUUAUAAUUGAUCUCAAAAAAAAAAAAAAAACAAAUAGCCCACCCCUGUAAAUAUUCCUUAGUCCGCCAUUGCAUGGCAUAAUAUUUGGUAUGCUAUGCUAGCAUCUCAUAAGCUCUUCAAGAGACCUGAAUUUUAUGAUAACUUCUUAAAAAAUUUGAAUACAUUUCAACGAUAUUAAACUUGAAUUUGAACUCAUAAUUCAAUCAAAGUACUCAUUGAGGCAAUUUAGAUCAUUUUCAUUUUAAAAAAAUUGGGUGCACACAUUGAGCUUCAUGCUCUUUACCUUCUUAGAGAUUUUAUUUGAGGAAUUUAUAUUGCAUCACAUAUUACAUCUCUUAGGAUUUGUUCUUAUUAUGUAUUCUUUAAGAGAUCUAUUCUUGCAAUAUGCUUCAAACACUUCAUAAUCUUUAUGAAUUUUUCAUGUAGAUUUAAGGUCUCCAUGAAUAUUGAGAUUGAAACAAGGAGUAAAAGAGUUAAAAGUUUAAGAAAUUUUUUCCCUGAUUAUUUUGUAAUUAUAAUGUUGGUGAAAAUCCAAUUUCCUUUCUAGAAUUUGUGAAAUUUGUUAUUUGGCUAAGCUAAAAGUAUAAUUUUGACAAUAAAAAGCAUAUGAAAGUUUCUCUUUGGUUGGCUUCUUGGCUAGCUCUAGGAACGGACAGUGUGGCCAUGAGAUAACCAUGGAAGUAUAAUAAGAAUGCUUGGAUGCUGUGAACAAUCCAUUUUCUGACUCUUUUUCUUGAGGUGGUUGUUUUCUUAUGGCCCAUCAGAGUUUAUGGUCGACAGAUAAGCUUCAAACACAUGCAUUGGUCGUGUCAGUUGCGAUAAACUCUUCCCAACAAUCAACAAUUUCUAAGGUAAUAUCAUCAUUCAAUCAUGUGCUGAAUUUAGAAUUGUUUUCAAAUCAAGGAUUUGUUUUGGAACUCAGAUUUUAAAACAAUUAAAAUUUAAUUGGGAAGACUUUUUGUUUAAAGGAAGUUCGUUUCAAUUCAAAAAAUAAUUUUUCAGUUUUUCAACUCAAAAGUCUUCUCAGUUUUCUUAUUUUUCUUAUUGGCGAGUUUCUUGGUUAACUCUAGGAAGGGAGAUAUGUGGCCAUGAGCUAACCAUGGAAGCAUAAGAACGCUGACCAUGCUUGGAUUUUGAGAAGACUUCCUCUUUUUUUUUUCCCUGACUCUUCUUCUUGAGGCGGUGGUUGGCUUAUGGCCUCAUAAUAGUUUGGUGUUUUUGGAGAUCAUAUGGUGAUGAUCUGAUGGAGAUGAGUCAUAGUUUGUGCUAGUGCAUACGUAAUUCCAAUUUCCUGAUUCAGAUGGGAUAAACUCUUCCAACAAAUUAAGACUCUUAUCAUGCAUACACAUAAGAAGUGGAAAUUUGCUUCUGUCUUAGUUUGGCCUUGAUAUAGGACAGCUCAUAGGAAAGCAUCCAAAACAAUAUUCUUUUUAUUUUUUUUAUUUGAAUACAAGCGAUAUUAGGAGUGUGGGGAUUUGAACACAUGAUUUAGGGUACAGGGUAAUGCUCUUAACUAUAUGAGUUACAAGUCCCUUGCAAACAGUCUGAAAUACUAAAAAUAAAAAAUAGAUGCUCAUCCAUAUGCACUGUCAUGCCCCAACCCUUGGAUUUACAAAACCUUGUGUUAAGACGUGAUUCACACCUUAAUUAUAGAAUUUAAUAAAAACUAUAACUAAAAUGUGAAGAAAACAUUUAAAUAAAUAAAAUAAAUAUUUCACAUAGAAUAUUCAGUGGAAAUGACAACAUGUGAAAUCUUAAAAAUUUUACAUUAUCUUACAAGUUGGCGUGACUUGUGGAUAUUGACUUACUUUCCUUACACACCAAGAAUUCCUAUUAUAAUUGUAAUUGAUUUACUUUAAUUCAUGAUUUCCUACUGUAAAUAGAUUUAAGAAUUUAUUAUUUACUUGCCCAUUCAGGUUUCGUUGUAUUAUAAAUAUGACCUCCUACAAGGAGAAGAACAUACAGAAAAUUCCCACAAACAAAUAUUCUCUCAUAGUUUUCAUAUUUUAGCAUGGUAUCAGAGCGGCAAUCUUGGAAUUGCUGACUCUAGUUUCAAACCCCCGCCGCCGCUAUGGGGGUUGAUGAUUUUUUCAACCAUCAUGGAGGUAGCACCAUCGACUCCUUCUCUCAUUCUCAACUAACCAUCGUUGAGUUGAGUGCCCAGAUGGCUCCGCUCCUACAGAUGCAGACUUUGACCCCAAACCCGAUCCAGAAUCAGGAUCUUCUUUCGACAACCACGACCCCGAUCUCGACUAUGACAACGACGACCCCGACCCCUACUCUGAAGAUGACCCCGACCCCCACUCCGAUGACCCCAACCCCGAAUUUGUCUCUGAUUCAGAACCCGAUCCCGAUUUCGACUCCGACUCCGGCCUCGACUCAGGCUCAGAUUUCGAUCCAAAUUCCUACUCAACUUAUAUCCUAUGCAUCUUCCGCUGCACAGAUUAUGACUUCUAGACUAACGACCCCGACAUAUGGACCAGAUUGCACAUAUUGUGGUGAUCCGAGACACACUUGUGAGACUUGUUUUAAAUCGCAUGGCUACCCCGAUUGGUGGGCUAUUCUUACAGAUCAAGGACAAUGCACCAGUAAUGGUACUGGUUAUGGAUUCCAUACUUCCGAUAAGAUUGAUUCCAGGAGCUGGAUAAUUGAUUCUGGUGCAACUGAUCAUAUGACGUUUGAUCCUGAUGAUUUUCUGAAUACUACACAACCUCGACGAACUUGUAUUGCAAAUGCCAAUGGUGUUACUUAUCCUGUGACAGGGGCUGGCACUGUUGCACUCUCAUCCUCUCUCACACUGUCUAAUACUUUACUUGUUCCAUUUUUAUCCACUAAAUUGUUGUUAGUUAGUCAGCUUACUAAACAAUUGAAGUGUUGUGUACUCAUUUACCUGAGUUUUUGUUUGCUUCAGGAUAUUCACACUAAGGAGAUUCUUGGUCGUGGUACUAAGAGAGGGGGGCUAUAUUAUGUCGAUGACUUCAGUUCCGGCGUGCCUAACAGUGUGACACAUCCCUUUGAUAGCAAACAAAAGCAAAUUUGGUUGUGGCACCUUCGAUUGGGACAUCCGUCUUUCAGUUAUAUGAAGCAUCUUAUACCAGAUUUAUUCUUAGGUUUCAAGGACUCCGACUUCACAUGUGAUACUUGUAUUUUGGCUAACAGUCACCGUGUGCCCUACCUGUUGAGUACGAACAAGUGUACUUGUAAGAUCCCACAUCAACCAACGGAGAGGGGGUGAUGUGCCUUAUAUAUGCACACCUGCAUCCAUCUAGCACGAGGCCUUUUGGGAGCUCACUGGCUUCGGAGUCGUAGGAACUCCGAAGUUAAGCGAGUUGGGGGCUAGAGCAAUCCCAGGAUGGGUGAUCCACUGGGAAGUUGCUCGUGAGCUCCUAGAAACAAAACCGUGAGGGCAGAGAGAGGGGCCCAAAGCGGACAAUAUCGUGCUACGGCGGAGUUGAUCCCGAGAUGUGACAAUUUGGUAUCAGAGCCACUCUGCCGUGUGGUGCGAAUGUGCCGACGAGGACUUCGGGCCCUUAAGGGGGGUGGAUUGUAAGAUCCCACAUCAACCAACGGAGAGGGGGUGAUGUGCCUUAUAUAUGCACACCUGCAUCCAUCUAGCAUGAGACCUUUUGGGAGCUCACUGGCUUCGGAGUUGUAGGAACUCCGACGUUAAGCGAGUUGGGGGCUAGAGCAAUCCCAGGAUGGGUGACCCACUGGGAAGUUGCUCGUGAGUUCCCAGAAACAAAACCGUGAGGGCCAGAGAGGGGGGCCCAAAGCUGAUAAUAUCGUGCUACGGCGGAGCCGAUCCCGGGAUGUGACAAUUGUACUACUCCAUUUACGUUAAUUCACUCUGAUGUCUUGGGACCUUCGCCUAUCACUGCUCCUUCUGGUGUUCGAUGGUUUGUCACAUUCAUCGAUGAUUGUAUACAGAUGACAUGGCUUUAUUUGCUGAAGAAUAAAAACGAAGUGUUUUCCCGUUUUCAGUCCUUCCACAAACAGAUGAAAACUCAGUUUAAUGCUCAAAUCCAGAUUCUUCGCUCAGACAAUGGUGGAGAAUUUGUCAAUCAUGACUUUCAGACUUACUUCCAACAACAUGGAAUUAUCCAUGAGACGACUUGUCCUCAGACACCACAACAAAAUUGUGUUGUUGAACGAAAGAAUUGACAUCUUCUUGAAACCGCCCAAGCACUUCUGAUUGGCGCUCAUGUUCCUCGCUAUCACUGGGAUGAUGCUAUUGUCACCGCAGUUCACCUGAUCAACCGCAUGCCUUCUGGUGUAUUGACCUUUAAAACUCCCUUACAGGUGCUUGCGCAACACAGACCUCUGCUCUCUGUUUUGGUACUCACACCCCGAAUCUUUGGAUGUGUGGCUUUCGUUCAUCUCCACAAAAAUCAACGUAGCAAACUUGAUCCCUGUGCGCUUCGUUGUGUUUUUAUAGGUUAUGCCACUCAUCAGAAAGGCUACCGUUGUUAUCACCCUCCUACCCAACGAACCUAUGUCACUUUGGAUGUGACCUUUCUGGAAUCUGAGUUGUUCUUCCAUGACCCAUCAUCCAAUUCUACGCAUCAGGGGGGGAUACGAAGUGAAGAGCAGAAUUGAAGCAACUUGGGAAAUAAAGAAAUUUUCCUCUGUACAGAAAUGAUUAAUCAUCCUGAGUCUGGAGCACGAGAUUACUCUCUGUCGAAAAGCAACCAAUCGCCCAUUCAUAGCGAUCAAUUGCCUCACCUACCUGAUCCAUGUGAAGAUAUUUUUGAUCCGAGUCUCACACCUACAGACAAUACAGAACAACAAGAUGAAGACUCCCCCUCUAACUCAACAGUACCAACAGACCAAUCUCCUGAGAAUAUCCUUGAGGUAACUACUCCUACUAGAUUUGUGCAUUUAAAUGAUUAAACUAUUGGAUAUCAAUUACCUUUCAGGGAAAAUCGUGGGAAGCCAUCAAACCGUUAUGCACCUGAUAUUGGCAAGACAUCCAAGUAUCCAAUUGCAAAUCAUGUAUCCACUGAGAAGCUGUCUGAACAACUCAAGGCUUUUGUGCAUCAGUUGUCUGCGAUCCAUAUUCCAACCAAGGUCUCUGAAGCAUUAAAAUAUCCUAAGUGGGUCCAAGCUAUAAAAGAGGAGAUGAAAGCUCUUGAGAAAAAUCAGACUUGGACAUUAGAGACUAUACCUCGAGGAAAAAAGACUAUCAGAUGUAGAUGGGUGUUUACUAUAAAACACAAUGUAGAUGGAUCUAUCGAGCAAUACAAGGCAAGACUUGUGGAAAAAGGGUACACACAGACAUAUGGUAUAGACUAUGAAGAAACCUUUGCUCCAGUUGCAAAGUCAAACACCAUCAGAGUCUUAUUGUCCCUUGCAGCUAAUUUGGAUUGGCCACUACACCAGUUUGAUGUAAAGAAUGCUUUUCUACAUGGCGUACUCACGGAGGAGGUGUACAUUUACAUUCCUCCUGGAUAUAAUACUACUUAGACUGGAACAGUUUGCAGGUUACGAAAAGCAUUGUAUGGAUUGAAACAGUCACCACGUGCAUGGUUUGGACAGUUCACCAUGGCAAUGAAGAACAAUGGUUCAAACAGUGCAACUCAGAUCAUACUCUACUCUUGAAACAUCGAAAAGGGAAGGUAACAACAUUAAUAAUCUAUGUUGAUGAUAUGAUUAUUACUGGGAAUGAUAAACAGGAAAUAUCACAGCUACAAGACUAUCUGGCUACGGAGUUUGAGAUGAUGGAUCUAGGUGGACUCAAGUAUUUCUUGGGAAUUGAGGUGGCUCGAUCCCAGCAAGGCAUAUUUCUCUCUCAAAGGAAAUAUGUCUUGGACUUGUUGACAGACACAUGAAUGCUAGAUUGUAAACCUGCGAACACUCAUAUUGUUCAGAAUCAUCAUCUUGGAGAAUAUCAUGAUCAAGUUCCAACUAACAAAGAAAGAUACCAAAGGUUAGUAGGAAGAUUGAUCUAUUUGUCACAUACUUGACCAAACAUUACUUAUGCAAUGAGCGUUGUCAGUCAAUUUAUGCACUCUCCAAGUGAAGACCACACGAAUGCAGUUCUUCGGAUACUUAGAUAUUUGAAGUCUGCACCUGAAAAAGGACUUAUUUUCUGAAAGCAUGGUCAUAUAAAUAUUGAUGGUUAUUCAGAUGUAAUGUAACAGAUAGAAAAUCCACAUCCGGUUACUUAACAUUCAUGGGAGGUAAUUUGGUGACAUGGAGGAGCAAGAAACAGAAUGUAGUAGCUUUAUCCAGUGCAGAAGCCGAGUUCAGAGGCAUGACUAAAGGAAUUUGUGAACUUCUUUGGUUAAGAAAGUUGCUUACUGAACUUGGGUAUAAACCUACAUCCACAAUGAUUCUCUUUUGUGACAACAAGGCUGUUAUAGCCAUUGCACAGAAUCCGGUUCAGCAUGAUCGUACUAAACAUGUUGAGGAGGAUCGACACUUCAUCAAACAGAAGCUUGAGGCUAAAAUGUUUCAGUUUUCUUUUGUGAAAUCCGAGGAUCAAUUGGCGGAUAUUUUGACAAAGGUGAUUUCCAGUAAAACAUUCCACAAUUCACUGGAUCAGUUAGGCAUUGGCGAUAUCUAUGCACCAACGUGAGGGGAAGUGUUGGCGUGACUUGUGGAUAUUGACUUACUUUCCUUACACACCAAGAAUUCCUAUUAUAAUUGUAAUUGAUUUACUUUAAUUCCUGAUUUCCUAUUGUAAAUAGAUUUAGGAAUUUAUUAUUUACUUGCCCAUUCAGGUUUCGUUGUAUUAUAAAUAUGACCUCCUACAAGGAGAAUAACAUACAGAAAAUUCCCACAAACAAAUAUUCUCUUAUAGUUUUCAUAUUUUAGCAAGAACUACUCGAGAGUUUACUAAAAGAGUAGUUCAGUAUUCAUCCACAAGCUAUAUACACAAUACACUCUAUAGAUAUGCCAAAAUCAUCGCAAGCUCUAGAUUUUAGGUUCGAUACCUGCAAAAUCUAUUAGAAGGGUGAGUGAAACCACAGUUUAGUAGGGACAUAAACCUUUUCACGGUAAACUGAUAUAAUUAAAUUAAGUGAAAAAUAAUCACACAGCCAAAUAUCACAUUAUUAAUAACAAUGCAUGAAUGCUCUUCAUUUAACCCGUUAAUUCAUAUAAUUAGACAAGCUUCACGACCCAUACCAUGCUUAUACCACUUAGUCCCGAAUGCCAAUUUAUAUGAAUUAACGCCCAUUUCAAUCAUCCCAUAAUUCCCAUUUUGUUAGUCAUCUUGUCUAACUCCCUGUUGCCAGUCCUGAAUCACCAAAAAAAAAAAACCAUGUGCACUAUGGGAUCCCUGAGUACUAGUACCUGGCAAGAGUUAGACUCAACUACACAAAAGAUCAUUUCUAUUACCCUCUUAUCCACCAUUAUUUUCUCAACUUCAGAAUUCUAGCCAAAUUCCAUGACAUGAUAUAAUUAAAAUUAUGCCUUCACAACAAUGUGCCCAUUUAAAACAUCACUAAUGCACAUAUAAUUAUGCCCACAUUGUUCAAAUAGUUAAGAGUACGUAAAUACCCAAUACAUGGAACGUCAAUCAAACAGUACCACGCAUAAUAUAAUGCUCAAGAAAUUUAAUUAAAUCAAUCUCUGUAAAAGGCCCCUAAGAAACCCCUGCCUUGAUACUAAAGCUUUUGCUAGACCUAUAAGGUGUUUUCCAAUUUUCCACCGCAUUCACAAACUCUGUCUUCUACUUUUUUUCUUACUUCUCUCUACCACUAUUUCUUUCUCGUUUUCUUUGUUUUCACUUGUUGUGCAACUUAAUGUCCUAUAUAUAUACAAGGAACAAGUCGGCAGUAAGUGAUUUCCUAUUGGAUGGUGUAUUCGGUUGUUAUAAACUUACUAGUAAUAGUUAUCAAUGUAGUUGCAGAUGAGGAAGAAUGUUUUUGUGACUCUUCCAAUCCCUCUAAUCCUAUUUCUUAUCUUCUUGGUGAGUUGAUAGCCUCGAUACUUAACAGAUUUUAUACUUUGACACGUAUUAACAAGAACUAUUUUAAAAACAUAUACAUAUAUAUAUAUAUAAUAGAAUAUGUAUAUAUGUAAUACACAUAUUUAUAUAUAAUAAGAAUAAUAUAUAUGUAAUAAGAUAUAAAUAUUUAUUAGAACAGUAUAUAAAAUAAUAUAUAUCAUUCUUAUUAUAACAAUAAUUUUAAUUUUCCCAAAAUAAUAUAUAUUUAAAAAUAUGUGGUUUCACAUGCAUGUCCUUUUUGCUAUAGACACUAUUACAAAAAUCGAAAUAGACAACGGAAAACUACCGUCGUCUGGAAAGUUUUCAAACAGUCGUGAAAUCGACUGUCGUCUCUUUUACAUAAAACAACGACGGCUAUUAACCAACGUCGUUAAUACAUUCCACGUAAAAAACUAUUAUAAACCGACGUGUAAUUACUAUAUAUAUAGCCUAAAAUAAAAUCUUCAACAACCUUAGACGACGGUUUUAUUAAAACUGACACGUCUAAAGAGUGUUACAUGUCAAGAUCAAAACAAGAACCGACGUACAGAUAAUUAUCCACGUCCUAAUUGAAGUAAAAUAGACUUGGAUAACCUAGAAACCGUCGUGGUUAACAUAUACUACGUUAAAUUAACAAAGGCACUUACGUCUAAAAAGUAAAAGACAACACGCGCACAAAGCAACAGACGUUUAAAGCUUAGUACAUGUCAAUAGCCGCUCAAUAACCGCAGUAAAAUGAAUUAACCACGUCCCACAUAUGGCAGAACUGUUGCUUAUGUGAUUAUCCACGUCGCGGAGUAGUAGAACAAAGACGUUGUAACCAUAUUCCACGUCUGUUUCUUGUGAGAAUUGUCGUUUAAAUUAUACAAAGAAGCCCCUUUGACAGAGUUAGACGUUGCUCUUGCUGUAGAACCGACUUCUAACAGGUUUAAAAUGACACAAUAUUACUUAAUACUGCCGUAACAAAUCAUAUCCACGACUGCUGUUGUCAAAGACUGACGUUACAAAAAAUAUUGAAGGUGUUGACAAAAAAGAACCGACAUGGAUUAUGCAUUCAACGUCGUGUGGUCUAAAAAUAAAGGACGUGGUUAAUUUUUUCUCUACGUCAAGUGGAUCCAAUUGCCUGAUGUUGUAAUUCUUUACCAUGUUGGUUUUUAAUACAUGAUGAUGUGGUUGUCCUUUUAAAAGUCGCUUGUUUUACCCUCCUUGACGUGUGUAUGAUAUGAGACGUCAAUUGUUUUAGACUAGCUGACGUGCAGAAAAUCUGUCACGACAAUUAAUGCAACUGAAUUGCCUCUAUUUCCCCCAGACGACGGUAGGUUUUAAGUGUGGAAGUAGUGUUUUACAAAAUCGUAAGUUGGAGUAAUCUACCAUCGUGUUAUUCGAGAAUAUACCACGAUCUUUGUUUUGUACUCGGUCGCUGAUGUUUAUACUACUUAAUAAACUGACAUGUUUUCAGUUUCAGACGGCGGCUUUUGUUUCUUUAUGGUCUUUUGCAUUUUUUUUCCAUGACAUUUUUGAAAGCCUAAUGUUGGUUUUAUUUUAGAAAUCGAUUUUUCCCCUUUUUUUACUGGACCGUCGUACUUUACACAUUUAAUCAAUUUUUUUCAAUUUUUGAUUCAUCGUGCCCAAAGCCUACAUAACGAAAAUGUGAUCAGAAUUAAAAUGAUGUACAAAGGUAUUAAUUAAUGUCAUACAAUUAACUGAAUAACUAAUGUCAUACACUACAACAAUCAAUCAAUCCAUAUAUCUUCACACCCAUCUUUAAUAUUUUCACUCCCAAACUCACCCACUAGGUCAUCAUAUGUGUCAACAUUUGGUAUCCCUCUAGUAAAUGUCUCACACUCAAUUCUAAUAUCACCUAGCACAUCAUCACCAAUAACAUUAUUAUAUUCUCUAUUAUGCAUUGAUAACACUACCGACCAACCACGAUGCAUUGGGUCGUCAGCAUAAAAUACUUGUUUUGGUCAUUCCUAUGUCCAAUUUUACUCAAAUCUACAAAGGUGAAUCCAAGUUCAUCGACAACAAGGCCCAAAGUGUUAUCUAUCCAAUCACACCUCAAGACAAGGAUUCUAAACUUUUGGUAGUCAAGGUCCCAAAUUUCUUGAAUAACACCAUAAAAACCCAUAUUGGAGACAAUAGAGUUUUUAUCCUUAGCACUAGCAACUUGCAUAGUAUGUGCAAGUAAAUAAACUCCACUAUUUUGGACAGUUCGCAUAUCAUCUUGUGCCUUGGUGUUAAAUUUAACACCAUUAAUAAGAUAGCUCCUAUAUGAUGGCAUUGCCAUGCUUGGACUAGCUGCUAGCCACCUCAAAUUUUAUGAUACGCCAUUAUGCUCUUCCCCAUUAAGUUCACUUUGAACUUGCAAAUUAAUCGUAUAUAUCCUAAUUCGAUCUAACAUAUAAAAAGGAAGAAAAUUAAAAGUUGAAUAUGUCAUUCAAUAACAUAUAUACUUGAAAGUGUAGCCAUUGAAUGAAAGUGCUAUUGUGCUUAUCUUGCAGCCACUUUGUUCUCUUUCUAAAUAUUGGAUAAGUGGUCUUGAUGUGGAUCAUAUGUUCCAUACAUUGACACGAAAAAAUCAAGCAUUACGGUCCCUUGUAUAUAAGAUAACAUAAGGAAUAAUAAUAUUUAAAAUGGCUCUAUAUGAAAAAUGGAACUCAUGCGUACUCGAUAUAAGGUAGGACUUCCUCAGUAUUCUCCAAGACAUAUAGAUGUGUCUGGUUCAAAAAACCCGAUCACCUAAGCUUACUGUGCAACCAGAUAAUGGCUUUGAAACUCCCAUCUUCUAGCUUGAAGGCACUCCAACUGUACUAACAUCAGAUAAAUGCUCGGUGCAAAACUCUACAACUUCUUCAGCUAUAUACCGCUCAAUAAUGCAACAUCCGGGACGAGUACGGUUCUGAACAAACCUAUUUAGCACUUUCAUAUGUCUUUCAAAUGGAUACAUCCAUCUAAAAUAUACUGGCCCAUGUAGACGAACUUCUCUGACAAGAUGUACUACUAGAUGAACCAUGAUAUCAAAGAAUGAAGGGGGAAAGUACUUCUCAAGCAAACGCAACGUAACUACUACAUCUUCUUCCAAAUUAUCUAGCUUGGAAACAUCUACUGUCUUUGCACAUAUAGCAUUGAAGAAGAAGCACAAUCGAGUUAUUGCAUACCUUGCAGGCUUCUCCAAACAGAACGAAUUGCCACAGGGAGCAAUUGUUGCAUCAAGGCAUGAAAAUUAUGAGAUUUAAGGCCAAGAAGUCUUGAAUAUUUUUAAGAUACAAGAUUUUUUUAUAUUUGAACAAUAACCUUCAGGGACUUUCAUACCAUAGAAAGAAUUGCAAACCGCUCUCUUAUCUGCUCUUGACAAAUUCUAGGGCCUUGGAGGCAAGCGAGUACGUCUUUCUCAAUACUCGGGUUGCAAAUCAUUUUUGACCCCCAUGUUCAAUAAAUCUAACCGAACAGCAAUCUCAUCUUUAUUUUUUCUAGGGAUCUCCAGCAAUGUACCAAUGAUACUAUCGCAAACAUUCUUCUCAAUAUGCAUAACAUCUUGGACAUGCCUCAUAGGAAGGUAUUUCAAAUACUCGAGAUCAAAGAAUUUUGAUUUCUUAUUCCAACAAACUCUGUCACCAUCAUUCUCAAAAACACUUCCCCCAUUUUUCGAGCCCCAUAUGUAAUUAAUAUCUUCAACCAUGUCCUAUUCAAGUUAAUGGUUCGGGAGGCGUGCCAUAUUCAAGUUUUCCAUUGAAAGCUGCACGCUACCUCCGACAUGGAUGAUUGAUUGGUAACCAUUUUUUAUGACCAAUGUAACAAAUUUUGGGGCCAUUUUCAACCUGUGACUAGGUGUAUCAUCGCCGCAUAUUGGACAAGCUUUAUAUCCUUUAACGACACUGUAACACCCCGACUCUAAAUUAAUCCCUUAUUUAAUUAUUUAAAGAAAAUUACAAAUUUACCCUUAAGAUAGGGGUAUUUUGGUCAUUUUCUUACCCGAAGAGAGUUUGGGGCAGUGACUAGUAUUUUUGGAUAGGUCGUACUGAGACGAGUUCAUAGACACGUAGUGGGCUCGAAUCGAAGUUGUAACGAGAGAGAUAUGGUCAAAAGAAACCCAAUUGCACAAUCAUAAUUAUUUCGAAAUGAGAUUUUUAUAAAAAUCAGAUUUUUUUUUCUCUCUCUCUCUCUCUCCUCGUCGGUCUCUCUCCCUCUCCUCGAAACUCCGGCCAUCGGCCACGGCUGUGGACGGGGCCGGUACCAAAAUGACCGAGGCGUUGUCCUCCUCUAAUCCCAGCUAGGUCCCGCCGUCAGCCGCCAUGGUUUCGCCGGAAAAUGGAGAAGAAGCGGCCGGCGUCGUCCGAAGUUCUCCGCCGUUGAUCUCCCUCUUCCGGUCACCGAUUCCGACGAGUGAGGUAUGGUUUCUCACCUACUUUUCAUGCUCUAGCUGCCUGCUGGGUAUGAUUGGAUUGAUUUUUAGCGUAGGCAAUUCGAUUUUCGCAUUGAAAUUCGGCUAAUUUUGGAAUCACGAUUCCGGCUAGUUCUGGUCAGUUUUUGGGGUAGAUCCAAGAACAAAAGUGGCUCCAAAUAGGGUGUUAUACCUAGGGUAGGAGUUUGGAGCCAUGGUUUUGAGAUUUUCCGGCGAUACGUAAUCGCUUUAGACACCCAACGCUGCCCGCACGUGUGGCAGUGCGUGGGCGAGGGUAGUGAAAUAGCACUAUGUCUCGAUGAGAUCCUUAGGUUGUCACGAGUGCGUAGGAUUUCGCGGAUCUCAAUUCGGACGUCGUUUGACUAUCGAACGGAUUUUCGUAUAUUGCGCGUCAUCCGGGUUCGAUAGGUUGGGACCGUUGGAUGGUCUCGAAUAAAAUAUAUGUUAAUCUAGGUAUUUCUAGGAUCAUGUAGGAAUUCACGGAUUAUAAAUCGGAGCCCCGGAUAUUCCGAAUAAAUAAUUUAAAGUUUAUGUUUUAUAAUAACCGUCACAUCGUGCGAUCGUGAGCGAUCCGACCGGCCGAUCUGGACCAAACUUACAGAACGAGUGUCCUAUACCUUGAAGAACCCAUAGGAAUUUUCAGAUCGAAAUUUGGAGGUCGUGGGCCCCGUGGGCCCAUUUGACUAGGGGUAGGGUAGUUUGACCCUUAGUUGACCGUGAGUCUCCCGGAGUAAUCUCACCUUUCCAGGGGGAUUAUCGGGUGCUAGACUGUUGUUGAGGUUUACACGAUAUUAGUAGUAAAUUAUAUAUUUAUAUACAUUUGUAAAGGUAAAAAAUAAGUCCAGAAUGUCAGUUUGAAGUGCUUUACGCACUACCUUAGGUACCUCCCCGGAUUUUAGUUACACUACAAGUACCACCCUAUGAAAGUUAGGUCCCACGUGGCGUAGGUUAUCCGGCGUGCGGACAGGCCCUAUACGUGGCAUUGGUAGUAUCGGUGUAUGGGGAGAUUACGUGAUAAUAUGUUGAGGUCACACGUGGCGUAGGUUAUCCGGCGUGUUGACAGACCCCAUACGUGGCGUUGGUUGUACCGGCGUAUGAGGAGAUAUUGUGAUAUGAUAUUCAGGUCUCGCGUGGCGUAGGUUAUCCAGCGUUGAGACAGACCCCAUACGUGGCGUUGGUUCUACCGGCGUAUAAGGAGUUUAUGUGAUAUUAUGUUGAAGUCGCGCGUGGCGUAGGUUAUCCGGUGUGUCGACAGACCCCAUACGUGGUGUUGGUUGUACCGGCGUAUGGGGAGAUAUGUGAUAUGAUGUGCAGGUCUCGCGUGGCGUAGGUUAUCCGGCGUUGAGACAGACCCCAUAUGUGGCGUUAGUUGUACCGGCGUAUGGGAAGAUAUUGUGAUAUGAUAUUCAGGUCUCGGGUGGCGUAGGUUAUCCGGCGUGUUGACAGGCCCCAUACGUGGCGUUGGUAGUACCGGUAUAUGGGGAGAUUAUGUGAAAUACAGAGAAAUGAAAUAAGGUAUUGCCUAUGUGUGGAAUUGGGUUUUAAGGAAGAACUACGUGUGGCUUGAUCCCUCAGGGAGGGUACGUAGGCAGCCUAAGGUUAUUAGGUGUAGCCGCGGACAUAGACGUGAUUGUGUUAGGAGGUUAAAACCUCGUAUGUUGAAAUUGAGAAAAUUAGAUGAUGUAUGUUGAAAUUUAGUAGUCGUAAUUUAUAUUUAAAUUUAUCGUUUGCCUUGUUUAAGGCAUGAAUUGAUUUGCUAGCAUGCUUGGUAGUUGAGAAUUAUAGAAAGGCCGAAGGCCGUUUAUGUGAAUUGCAUGGAAUUAUAUUGUGCAUGCUGCCAGUUGUAGUUAUUAAAUGUGUUUUUAUGCAGGUUGAAAUUUUGGGAAAUGUCCAAUUUACAGGGGAGACUCUGCCGAAAUUUCGGCAGAAAGUCUCGGUCUUUAGUAAGUGGGCCUGACAUCGAGGUGAUGUCGGGGAAUCCACAGGAUCCGCCUCGAUUUUUGGAAAAAUCGGGGCGGUUCCUUUCAGACACAACCAGAUAAGUUCUCAUAGGCAGAAAAAUCAUUAAUUGUUCACAGUAAUACACCUAUGAGUGUAAAGUAAUCUCCUAUGUGUGCAUCAUACACUCCUUUAAUCCCAUCCCACAAAGAUUUUAAAUCAUCAAUCAGAGGCUCUAAGUAGACAUCUAUAUCAUUUCCAUUCUAUUUAGGACCAGAAAUCAAUAAGGUCAAUAUCAUGAACUUCCAUUUCAUGCAUAGCCAUGGUGGGAGAUUAUAUGUAACUAAGAUAACCAACAAUUGUAUCUGCUACUUAAAGAACUGUGGGGAUUGAAUCCAUCAGAUGAGAGAGCCAAUCUCAAGUUUCUUGGCUCUUUACUGAACUCGGGCCAUUUAUCAUCAACAAGUUUUUAAGACGGGAAAUUCGCUGGAUGAGACAUAUGACCGUCAAUUGCUUUUCUAGCAACAUGCCAAGUCAAACUCUUAGCUGUCAUAUGUGAUUGAAACAUCCUUUUAAACCUUGGAAUUGGAGGAAAAUACCACACCACCUUCGCUGGCACACUCUUUUUCAAGAUUGAAUCUUUGCAUUCCUUCCACCUUGAGAUACCACAAGUAGGACAAUUAGUUGAAUCUUCAUAAUCAUUCCUAUACAAGAUGCAGUCAUUGGGACAUGCAUGGAUAUUCUCAUAACUCAUCCCUAAAGGAGAUAAUGUCUUUUUUGCCUCGUACAUAGAGGAAUAUAGUGUCUUUCCUUCUGGAAGCAAAUCUCCUUGAAGUAUCAAUAAUUCUAUAAAACAAACAUCACUCAUCCCAUGUUUUGCUUUCAAAUUAUAUAACUUCACCAAAGCCGACAACAUCGUGUACUUACUGCAACCAGGGUACAAGGAUUGAUCUCAAUCCCCAAUCACAUUGGCAAACUCAUAAGGAUCAAAUCCAAUAUCGCCUAAAUCAUUAUCAUCCAUCCCUACUUCUUUAGAAACAAAACUGAACCUACUUUGCUCAUCUUCUUCCACAUUUCUACUAGCAUUAGUAGUCAAUUCCCAAGGUUCUCCGUGCCAUGUGCAAAUCUGAUAGCUUUAGUCAAUUCCAUUAAAGUAUAAGUGGUCCCUCAUAAUUCCAACCCCAAACAAUCGAAUAUUCCCACAUUUAACACAUGGACAACGAAUAUGAGUUGUAUUUCCAAGAUUUUCUACAGCAAAAUUCAAAAAUCCUUCCACCCCUAACUCAUAUGCCUUCGGUCUUCUAUCCGCAUGCAUCCAUGACUUAUCCAUCUCACACACUAUAAAAUCAUAUAUAUAAUAAAGUGAAAAGACCAGCAAUGAAACACUACUUUAUUCACAUAGCAAAGAAUGAAUUGAAAAAAAAAAUUAACCAAGAAUCAGACGACGGUUUUUACAAAAAAAAUCGUCCUGUAACAGAGGGUCAGACGACGGCAUAUCUAGUUAUCGACGUCUUUAAGCUACCCAAACCCAGAUAUUUGUAUUGCUUUUUGAAGAACCGGGUUCUGGGUUCUGGUAAACAAAAGAUGACGGUAAAUGGAGAAACACCGACGUAUCCUAAAACUUGAGACGACGGUUUAUUUCACCAACCGUCGUCGUAGUUUACGAAAAACAGAAGUCUAAAUCUCCCAUCCUCAUUCCUUUUCUAAGAACCCUUAACAAAAUGCAAACAUCAAAAUAUAAAAGAGCCAUAUAUAGCUCCCAAUUAAGAAACCAAAGCUACCAAAACAUAUAUUAAUAAACCAAAGCUACCAAAAUGAACGAAAACAUUUAUGGGUUUUACAAACUAAGAGAAUAUUGAGAGAGAGCUGAGAGAAUAUACUUACAUGGAUAUUGAGAGAGAGCUGAGAGAAUAUAACAAAUGCUUGAGAGAGAGCUUAGAGAAUAUACACAAUGCUUUGAGAGAGAGCGAAAAAUUUAAGACAAAUUUAUGUUGAAGAGAGAGAAGGAAAUAUUUUAGGGUUAAAGGGAAAUUCUGAAAAUUUUAGAUCACCGUCAAAAUUUUCAAAGGACCGCGUUUUUCAAAGACGGCUAAGGAAAACUACCGCCAUUGUAAAUCAUUUUACUACGACGGUUGAGGAAAACUACCGCCAUUGUAAAUCAUUUUUAUGUCGCCUCUAUAAAAACCGACGUCUAAAAUAUUAAAUAAUUAGAUUUGGUUUGCAUUUCGUGGGAUUCUAACGUGCGUAAUUGACCAAAAAGAGCGAGAGAAAACCAGCGUCGUUUCUAUAAAACCUAAACCCUAAACCCUAAACCCUAAACUCUAAAACCUAAACACUGAAAAAAUUAACCAAAAAUUGCUAUGGACUCCUUACAACAAUGCCUUCUAUAUUAGUAGGCUAAAAUCGGGAUUAAAUAAUUUUGAAUUUUAUGACCACCAAUGGAUCACAUAAACCUUAGGGUUAUGUUUAUGGAAAGUAUAAGGAUUAUUGUGUUUUGUCUCUAAAUCUUUUUUACUUUUGUUAUCACUUGUAACUUUGAAAUCUAAAAUUAAAAUUUUCAGGCCUUUAGGGGGGAGAUAUUGUCUCAAUGUGUUUAUAGAAUUUGAGACUGCGAAGGUUCUAGCUGAUUGACUAAGGAUGAGGCAGGAUGGAUGGAAGGUUUGCUUGGAGAUUCUACCUUUGUCAGCUCUUCUGGUUGACAUGUUGUUUAUUCUGCCUGAGGAACUACUUCUAGAUUUUUCCCUUUUCUAGCAGAACUAGUCUCUGGAAGUACUUGUGUGUCAUCCUUAUUCUUGAGGAAGACGCAGUAUUGCCUUUGAACUCUCCUCUUUUGCAUUCUGGUUAGCUUCAGAGUUGGUCUUCGGCUUUUUCCAAUAGAAUAUCAUCUACCUUCUAUGAUAGUUGCAAAGGGCUUGUCAUUUCCAGGCAUCUUAACUGGUAUUUCCUUCUUUGGCUGCUCUAUUAUUCUCUUGUUGCGUUGGGCAGGCCUUAAAUAGUCCUUCUGUCUGGCUCUAUCUCUAGGUGGAGCCGGAACUAGGCCUUGUUGGUAUGAUGUUCCAAUCCUGUCAAAAACACAAGGUGUGGGCUGACUUUGCCUAACCAGAGUUACCUCUAACUCACUUUCACAUUUGCACCUGUUGCACAAAACUACCCCAGCCGAAAUGGUUGCUUUUGGUCUUCAAUUAGCCUAUCUUUGGACUCUUCUGCCUAUGCUGGGGCUAACUUUUGCUGUUAGUUUGCCUUUCUUUUGUUUUGGCCAAUUUAAGUUGACCAUGUUGACUUGAGGUUGGGGAAAAGGGUCUGUUGUUAUCGAAUGAGGUUUCUCAGCCAGUUUUAGCCUCCAUGCUGUUAUUCCUUCCUGUAUGACGUCCCUGAAAACAACACAACUAUUGGUGGAAUGGUCCCAGGAGUUAUGCCAUCUGCAAUACUGUCUGCCCUUGAGUUCCUCUAGCUUGGGCAACUUGUAGGGUGUUUCUAUUGCCUUCUGUCGCAGCAUGUCAUCAAACAGGGCAUCAACCUUGGUUAAAUCGAGGGAAUAGACUUUGUUAUGAGCUGGUUUGUUUGGAACAAACCCUCUUGUGAAUGGUGGUGGCUUUUGGUCCUUUGGUGGCUUUGUUAAAGCCUUGCAACUGAUGAGAUGUUUUAAUUUCCCCAUUUCUGCCACUGCAACUUCUCUCUCCUCCGAGCUUUCUAUGCCUUCUUCUGAUUCUACCUCAACAAGAUUUACUGAAGAGGAUGGGGUUUUGUAAUAUGUGCCUUUGAAAGAGUUCCUCUUCUAUUGUUCUUCCCUGAGCAGCUCCUUGUAUUUAGAUGCUUUGUCUGCUAGUUCUGCCAGAUCUCCAAACAGCAUCCCAUCAAAUUUUUUUCUCAGAGAGAUUUUAAGGGAGAUUUGAGCCAUUUGGAUGAAGUGCCCUUCCUCCAUAGGGAUUCAAAAUUUCAUUUUGAGCUUUUUGAACCUGGUUAUGAAGUCUUGGGCAGGCUCAUCUUCCCUCUAUUUCCAGGUUUGAGGGCAGCAAGAUCACUGAUGGUGACUUCUGGCUGAAUCCUAAAAUAGUAGUCAUGGAAGACAUUUUCCAUCUAUUUCCAGGUUUGAACAGAAUUGGCUGGUAAGCUAGUAUAUUAGAUGAAGGCUUGUCCAGAGAGAGAAUUUCGAAAAAGCCUUAGUUUUAACAGAAGGUUAUUUUCUAUGGCUAUGCACUGGAAAGAGAAUCUGCCUAUAUGCUUAACUGAUGAAGCAUGGGUGUCUUCUCCGUUGAACAAGGUGAAGUGUGGUACCUUAAAGCCCAGGGAUAGAGGUAUUUGAUCGAUAUAAGCUGGAUAAGGCUUUCUGUAGGUGGGCCUUUCUCCUCUUCUGGCCUCAGGUUCCAUCAUCUCUCUGAUCAUUCUAUAAAGUGCCCCCAUGUCAUUCAAAGCAUUGACAUGAUGCGGGGUUCGCCCCUGUUCUGGCUAGUUGUGUUCAAUCCUUUGUUCUACUUUAUAUGGCCUGGGCAGAACUUCCUCCCUAUGCUCUUCCUCUUUUUCGAAAUCUGGAUGAUUCCUUUAGUUUGCCCCCGGUCUGUUUUUGUCAUUGUUGGCAAAGGGUUUAACUCCUACUCUACCUCUCAUGCCACUUGCUAGUGGAGGGAAUGGAUUGGGGUCCAUCCUUCUAGGUCUGUAGGGCAACACAACUGGUUGCUCAGGCAGAAGUGCCAAGGCCUGAUCACGUGGGGCCACUAGUUGUGGAAUAGGUGGAGGUUCUGGCUAGUUCUGAGGGGGUCUGAACUGGUGCAGAGCCUUCUGGAUGAACUGAAUCCUCAUGUUCUUGGAUGGGAAGGGCUCCUCCCCUCUGUCCAGCUUGGAUUUCUCCAUGUCCUGGUAUUCCAGCUAUCUGUGUGAUGAGAGGCUUCUCUUCAUAUGGCCAUGCCAGUCCUGGUAGAGGUCCAAAAGGGAGAUCUAGCUGCUGGACCACCAUGUCUAGGUUUGGAAUUUUGGCAAUAGUAGCCUCACGGUCCUUCCUGAACUGCCUGUUGACUUGCCAUUACAUCAUGGUUGUCAUGUUGUUUAGAGUAUCUUGGCUCAUUUGUGCUGUGGCUUCUUGCCGAAACACAGCCUCCUGUAUCUAGUUUAACCUUCUGGAACCAGACAUGGAACGUCUACUCGUGGUACUGCCAUGGGCUGAUUACCUAGCAUCACUUUCUUUUGACUCAAGUCCUUUUCGGAGAGCUGCUUGAUCUCUUUUCAUGGCAUAGCGUGGAUUCUGGCUAGAACUUCCAAUAUUCAUAUACUAGAGGAUUUUUCUAGAAAUAUAUGUAUUGAGAAGUCCCACUGGGCGUGCCAAAUUGUUCAUCCGUUUUAGAUUUGUUCCUGUGAUGGUAGGGUAAAGUUCCUCAUUGACUUGAAAACCAUUGGUGGUCAAUAAGUCAACUUUCUUUUGUGUACAAAUGUGCCACUGCUAGCAAUAAAAACCCUAGCAGACUUCUUAAAAAUAGAAAACUUGUGCCCAAGUUAUUAACUUCUAAAUAAGCGAUUGUGAAUUUGGGCGAGGAAUAUCUCCCAAGUAAGUUCUUUUCUUUGCCUCAGAUUGGUGAGGACUUCACAAUUUUUCACAGUACAAAACUGGUAGUUCUAGCUAGAAUAAAUGAUAAGAAAGUGAACUGUUUUCAGGCAGAACUACCUUUUACAAAGCUUAAAAAGGAAGACCAACUCUAAAAAGACAAAAAGAGCUUUUGGACUUCAAUUUCUGCUUGGAUAAAUGCUUCUGAUCCGGGCUGGACUGGGUAUGUUUGUGCUGGACUGGACUAUCAACACCUUCAACUGUCAAGUUUUAGCUGUCAAUGAAUACCAAUGUUCGAGUGUGGCAAAGCUUCAAUCUAUUUCAAGCCGUGCAAGGCUUUUUGAACGGACAGAAUUGGAACCUCUUCAGUCUGGAAGGGGUAGAAGUGGCUGAAUUUGGUGAUUACUGAGCUGGAACUGCACUGUAGUACCUGUUCUGCUUGAUCAGGGCUCUCCAUAAAUUUGUUGAGGUUUUAAUAUUGGUAAAACCCGAAGCUUAUGUUGAACCAACUUUGUAACGAGAGAAAUCUUGCUUUGAAUGACUAUUUCUCUGAAACUAAACAGAAGUUAGAGAUUCUGGAAUAUAGCUGACUUGUUUCUUAUGGCUCAAUGAGCUUUUGGUUGCUUCAGUGUUUUGAAGGCUUUUGAGAUCAAGUGAUCAUUUUGAGUUUUUAUUUUUGAUUGAUUUUUUGGCUGUCCUUUUAUCUGUUCACCUCAUCUCAUAUUUAUAGAAUAUACUGGAGUGUGAUUUCUAAUCUUUUAAUAAUGGGCGGCAAAUCUUUUAAAAGAUCUUUUUUUCUUUUUUCAAUGUCAUAAGAGAAGGAAGCUACUAUUCUGACAGAGAAAGGUUGUCAACAAUCAUCUUUCAAUUUUUCUAUGUUCACUUUUUGUUCUUUGUAAAGAGAAAGAACACAAUCUACCAUGAUGGUCAGUGUGCUUUUCCUGUUGAACAACUCCCUCGUUCUCUACUUAUCUCUUGAAAACGUAGUCUGCUUAUCUCUUGGAAAGACCACCUGAUUUGGUGCAGAGCUUCUCUAUAUAUAUAUAUAUAUAAAGGGAUUUUGAUCUUCUUCUUUUGGCUGAAAAAAUAGAGAAGUCUUUCUGUAAGACCUGCCUUCAUUAAUUUUCUAUCAACUUCUCUGUAAUAGUUGAAAAUUUUGACUUUUCAAAGCCAGGUAUUCACGUGGGGUUGUUUAGAAAAGAUCUGUUGAUUUUGUCAAUCUUUUAGGGUAGAGAUUAAAUAGCGUAAAAAGGCUGGGCUAGUCUCUUUUUCUUAGUAGAUAAAAAGCCCAAAUAUUUUGUCUCACUGCCCUUUUCUGGAAAAUAAAUGGGCUGGGUGUGUUGGAAAUUGGCCCAAUCUUAAGAAAGACUCUGGUGGCUGCCCAAAAUUGACAUAGGCUUUUCUUGAUUUUGGGCUGGGCAUGCCAAAUUAGGCCCAAACAAUGCCCCUUAAGUCUGAAUUGUUUUUGGAAUAGUUUCAGACUUAAUGAUUUGGCCAUUAAUUUGUGCGCGCCAUUUCCUUCUGUUAGCCCACAUCUGCCACGUCUGCCUAUUAUGAUCAAGACUUCGUGGGAAAGUGGGCAGUUACUAGCUAGUUAUUAUCAGGUGGCGUCUUGUCUUCUUCUUCCCACGAUUUCGAGUCUUUCUAAGAAAUUUAAAAAGACCUCAGCUCCUGUUUACUCAAAACCUAACUUCUUCAGACCUUGAUUUUCCUCAGUUUUCUCAGAAUUUUUACCCUUUUCUGCGAUCAAACCCUGCUUCCUUUCAGUUUGAUUCCCCUAUCCUAGCUCAAAACCCGAAAAUGUCUUCUCCAAAAAAUCGUGCCCAGACUUCUUCUUAUUCUGUUCCUCCUACCUACAUUACUGGGGCCGGUGUUGAUAAGCAUGUGAUUGAAGUCCGGAGCAAGCUUCAUCCUUUUGCCCAGAACGUUCUGGACAAGAACGUGUUACAUUUGUUCGAGAACACUCUUGUUUUGGAGCCUCAUCGGUUUGGUUCUGUCCCGACUGAAAUGGCAGAAUUGUUUAAAGAAUAUACUGAAGCUCCUCUAUGCUUUCAGAGCUCUUUCGUAGAUUUCAGUUUUAUAUAUAAACUAUCGUGUUUCUCCCUAUAACAUGUCGUUUUUAAGAAUUGUUGUCAAUGUUUUAUUUCCUGCUACUAUAAGACGGCGAUUAUUUAUACAUAUGAGACGUGUAAAUUAGAAUGAGACGUCAGUCUUUGGGAUUUAAAUUAAGUUUUUACGAUUUAAUGUCAUUUUAGUUCAUAUAAGGACAUAAAUGUCCUAACCAAAAAUAUAUUUAUGUACAUUGUCAAUAAAUUAAAAUAAACCUAAACAUUGUUAAAAUAAAUUAGAUCACUUAUUAUUCUGUAAUUACUUGUUAACGAAUUCAGCCCAUUCCAACCUGACUUCGUCAAUAUGUUCUUAUACAUACUGAACUGGUUCCUUUUUCUUAUCAAACUGCAAAUAAAUAACAAAAACCAACGUGUUAUAAAGAUUACAACGACUGCUUUUAAAGAAAAAGUUGUGGUACUAAAAUAAAGAAUUUAUAUCUUAAGUUUUGCCUUUUACCUUCUUCUCAAAUGCUAGGCCUGGAUCAUGAAUUAUAUCUCUCAUGAAAUGCAUCACGUAAUAGCCACACUCUACAUUUGUUGGUUGUCGAGGAGUGCCAUGUAGAUUUUUCCAUAUGACUGAUUUACAUGAUGAUUAAUUGCCUGUGUGAGAGUUAUACAUUUUGAUUGAACUGUUUCAAGAAAAUGAAAAGUGUUAAUGAUAAAAAUAAAAAUCUAAAGCAAAAAUAUUAAACGUCGUGGUAAAUAAGUGAAGACGAUGGUUUUGUUAAAAAAGUGAUGUUGUAUUUCAUUUCAAACGUUGGUAAAUAAAAACCGUCGUUGUGUAGAAUUCUAACGUCGGUGACGAUGAAAAAUGACGUAUAACCAAAAAUUGUUUGUAAAUGAAAGUUGAACAGAAAAAAAUAAAACUUCCUUAAAUGAAAAACACAAACGACGUGGUAUUUCAAUUAAAAUGACGGUUUACAGAAAAUACUGACGUUGUAAAUGAUUUCAAACAUCGGUUUGAAGUUACCAUCGUGUUUUCAUUGUAACGUCGGUAUUAGAAAAAGCCGUAUAUCAUUCAAAUGCAAAUAAAAAAAUGUUAGAUUUUCAUAGAUAAACUUACAUAUUCACUAUAUUUCUCAUGUCCUCGUCAACAACGCGGUUUGGCAAUGAAUCCAUGUAAUAGAUAGUCUCCUUCGCUGGUCUCACAAUUAUUAACACCCAAUGACCCCUACACAUAAUGAUCCAUAUAGGUUAAAUAUACUAGAAAGAAAAAUAGGCAUCAAGUAUAGUUAAGGGGACUAACCUUGGAUUACAAGGCACCAUGUAAAAUUGAUCCCCAUUUGCGUUUUUCAGGCGGUCUGAGAGAUGUUUCAAACGGUAAGAUAACGUUCCAGAUUGAGAGCUGACUUGUCCAAGGUCCACGAAGCCAAUAAGGUUUACCAUAUUUUCUAUUUUUAAAUAGUCAAAUAGGCACCUAAAUAUAUGAAAUUCAAUUAAAUGAGAUUUUAACUUUAAAGAAAGGAAAUGUAUAAUGCAAUCACUGUGGAUCCAAUCUCAACCAUGGAAGGAAAUUGUAAAAUAUCUUCACACAAGAGGAAGGUAUCAUGGUUAAUGCCAAAGGCUUCCUCUGGAAUGUGAAUUCUAAUGGUCUCGUUAAUGGGCUUCAACUUGGUCUCGACAAAUUGAAAUAAGGCUAACAGAGGAGGUGGCAUGUCUAGCUUUGAGAGAUCCUGUUACAACAAAUAAAUAAAGAAAUAUAAGUUAGUUUGUACACUAAGUAAAAUAAACGACUCUAACUAAACCAAUCAAACCGACGUGGUAUAUAAUAUAAUCGACAGUUUCUAGAACAUACUGAAGGAGUAAAGGUUAUAGACGACGGUAAAGACAUAACCAUCGUUAUGUAAAUGUUCUAACGUCGCUGCAUUAUGGAAAGGUCGUCUAAUUAAAAUGCAGUGAAGCCUUUAUUGAAAUACACGACAGUUUAUAAAAUAAACACCGACGUAGUAAAAUACUGAGACGACGGUUAUCAGCAACGUCUAUUUGAAAUUAUAAAUCAGAAAAAAUCAAAUAUCAAAGAUUUUACCGUUUCAUCUUGCCAUUGUUUAGCAACAUCAGCAUCAUUCGUGGGAUUUUCUUCCUCCAAAACAAGGGGUCUCACAUUAGAGCAGCUUGCUUUGUCAGACAUUAGAUUUUUUGGAGUAAUUGGAGUUUUAUUGAGCAAGUUGGGAUCACAGUUGGGAAUUAGUUGACUGAAUUGUUUCAAUAAAAUUUCCCUCUCUGCUCUGACUGCCUCCAAAACAGUUUCUUUUGCCUUAGCUUUAAUCUUUUUGGUUUCUUCUCUCACUGCCUCCAUAACACUUUCCUUCAAUUUGUUAGCAAAUUUUACUCUCUGCUGUCUCGACAAAUUGAAGAAUUGAGUUGGGGAAACCCCAGCUCCAACACCUCUAACUCUCCCACCAUGCUCAGGGGUUCCCAAAGCCAAGGUCAAAAUAUCGUUGCUCUCAGAGACAGCAGAGUGCCCUCGGAAACUUGUUUUUUCAAAUCAUCCUAAAAGUGAGAGAGAGAGAGAGAGAAUGUUAGUGAGUGAACAGAUAGUAAAACAGAUUAAAUAAACAACUAUACAAAAAUAUUAACCGACGUGGUAAAGACUUUAAAAAACUGAAAUCAAUCCCCAAUAGUAACAGGGACCAUGCAGCAACGAUUUGGUUGACAGUAGUAUAGGUUGGAGAUGCUGUUGAUCAUUAGAUACUAUUUUUUUAAAUAUCAAUUCUGUAACAUCCAGACCUAAAAAAUUAAUGAUUUUGAUUUAAAAUUAAAUUUAAAUAAGCAAUUACGAAUUUACCCUUGGGGAAGGGGUAUUUUGGUAUUUUUUUUUUAUUCAGAAAGAGUUUGGGGCAGUGACUAGUAUUUUUGGGUAGAUCGUACUGAGACGAAUCCGUAGACACGCGGUAGGCCUGAAUCGGAGUUGUAACGAAGAAACGGUGACCAAAAUUAGUCCAGUGGCAAACUUGUAAAUAUUUUGAACUUGGGUGUAGAAAAAUCUGAAACUGGCUUCCUCUCUCCUGCGUGCACACGUCCUUCUCUCUCUCUCCUCUCUCUCUCCUCGAUACCAUCACUCUCUGUCUCUCUCUUCGAUUCUCUCAAUUCUGGCCACGGCAAGGGCCGGGACUGGUUCCGAUCAACUCCUCACAAAGCCCCGAACCAGAACCACCACUUUUCUUGGCCGGAAAGCUCGAGUUUCGCGUGGUAAUCUCGACUGGUUUGAACCAGUUUUCCUCCGUCAUUGUGCCGCCGCCAUCGCAGCCCAAUCUCGGUUAAACAAGUGAGGUUUCUUACUCUUUUUCCGAGCUCUAGCUGCCUGUUGGGUAGGAUUGGAUUGAUUUUUUGUCUAGGAUCCCGAUUUUGAAACCUAAGUUUUGACGAAUUUCAAAGUGAAAUUCCGGCCGGUUGCCGUCCUAAUUAGACCUCCCCGUAGUUGAAUAAAGUGAUCCUCGCUUCGAGUAGUAGCUAAGGUAGGAAUGGUGAAUUGCGGUGUGGAGUUUUUCCAUCACUGAAAAUUACUCUACACAUCCACGCGUUGCCAGGGCAUGUGGAGGCGCAUGGGCAAUGUGGUGAGACCACAUUUUAUCCUGAUGUAGUCUCCUAGUCCUCACGUGCGCGUAAGUGUGCUCGAAUUUCAAUUCGAAUGUUGUUUGACUAUCGAACGGAUUUAUGCAUAUUGUUUCUUAUCCGGGUUCAAUAUGUUCGGACCAUUGGAUCGAGUCCAAAUUUACGUAUGUUAAUCUAGGCACCCCUAGGAUCAUGUGCGAAUUCGCGGAUCGUGAAUCGGAGCCCCGAAUGUUCCGAUUCAAUAAUUUGAAGUUUAUGGUUUGCGAUAACCGUCAAUUUCUGACCAAACCUACAGGACGUGUUUCCUAAACCCGUAGUCGGACCUUAGAAUACUCGUUAUGCGUGCACGCACCGGGAACUUGAGAAAAUUAGUAUUUAAUUUGUAAAUUCCGUUUUGAAGUGAUUUUUUAUUAAUUAAGGGUGCGUAUCUCGAAAUAGGUGCUCCAUCACUAGCACGCAGCAGGUAGGACCCUCUUGAGGUCAGGCAGUGUGGGACUACUUGUGAGUGGACAUUUAUUUUAUAUAUGCAUUAUUUUCAAUGAUUGAAAGAAUAUGCAUGAAAUAUAUAUAUUUUUUGGAAUAAAGAUUGAGAAAUUCAUAUGUUGUUAUAUCAGUAUUAUUUAAUUUAGAAUUUGGUUUGAUUUGAUGAUGAGUUAUAUAAAGGUCAAGUUAUUCGUGAUUAAGUCUUGGAUGAAUUUUGGGGGAAUCGGGAAUUGAAUAUUAUGGUUUAUGGUGGGAACUUAUAUGAUUACACUGUGUGGAGUACCAUCCCCUAGUUACUAGGCUUCCCACAUGUGGCGUUGGAAAUUUUCCAGCGUGUGAUGAUGUAGUCUGCACGCAUAGGACUUAGUAUUGGAGCUACACGUGGCGUUGGAAUUUCCGGCAUGUAAGCUAUGGAGUUUCGUCCCCCGGUUGGACCGCUCAUCCCUAGACGCAGGAUAGCAACUGAAAAUCUUGCGGGUUAGCCAAACAAUCCCCCGGUUGGAUUGUUUCCCCGGUACCUAAGUAGUGUGAUAAAUAUUAUGUAUAUUUAUAGAUAUAUAUAUUUCUAUGUGUGUGUGUGUGUGUGUGUGUGUGUGUGUGUGAGUAUAAAUCAGUUAAAGUAUAUGUAGUGGUUGGGUAAGAGCAGUAUAAAUUUUGGGGAUAAAGUUUAUGGAUAGAGUGAUUGAUCUCAAAGGGUUUCGGAGAAUGAUGUUUUUGAUCAUUAAAUAAAAGUUAUGAAUCUGCAUGUCUUGAGCAUUAUUUUUAGACGGUGGGGUUAUUAUGUUGUUUUGAAUGCAAAUUUUGUUUUUCCACUCACAUGUUUUCUGUUUUGCGCCCCCCAAACAGUAGUCGCUCAAGGGAGAGUUGCAAGCCAUGUUCGAGGCCCCGAACUGUGAACAUCAGUAGAUUAGGUUUCGAGUAAUUUCUUUCUACUCAACUGGAUGUUCUUGUAAACUAAAUUCGUUAGAUGCUCUAUUAUUGCCCCUGUUAGGUUUUACUUGUGAGGCCAGAGGCCAUUUAGUUUAUACUGUUGAAUAAUAAAUGCAUGCUGCUGGUUGGGAUUAUAUUGUGCUUAUGCAGGUUGAAAUUUUUGGGAUUGUUCAAUUUACAUGGGAGACUCUAGCAAAAUUUUAGUAGAGAGUCUCGGUUUUUAAUAAGUGGGCCAGGCAUCGGGGUAAUGUCGGAAAUAAGACUGGAUUCGUCCCGGUUUCCGAAGAAUUCGAGGCGGGUCCUGUCAAGUUCCUCCUAUUAACAAUAAUAAAUUAAAUAUUUAUAUAACUGAUAACAGUUCCUCAUAUUAACAAUAAUAAAUUAGUAUUUUGUAUAAUAAACAUGUUUAAUGAAAUUCAUCUUCUUCUAGCAUGUUUAUUUAAAUUCUAAGUUUUCUGAAGAAAAAAAAAAAAAAAAAGGAGAAGGAAAUGUCCUAAAUUAAAUCUUAAAAGUUCAUUUUUUUCUGUCCCUAUAUAUUUUUUACCCAAUUAUAAUUUGAGAAAAAAAGGUGAAUUAACUGUCAUUUCACCUUCAUCAUUUUCAUGAUUUAUAUAAGAUUCUUCAAAGAUCAUUUCCACAAAAAAUUACUUAAAUUCGAAUCCAUUUAACCGUCUAAUUAAAUCGUUAGGACCGUUGAAAUAAAAUUUAAAGUGAGUUUAAAGUGAGUCCUACUAUGUCUCCCUCAAAUAAGAUCAUUUACAGGAUCUGUCGAGUCAUAUGAGAAUGUUUAGCUUUUCGAUCCCAAGAGUUUGGUUCGAUUUUCAUAUAUAUAUAUAUAUAUAUAUAUAUAUAUACAAGUCAAUUUACUUUAAAAAGUUCACCAAAUUUUAUUUUUGGUCUCGGUAGUUUGCUUGAGGGCCUUUUUCUGUCAAUCUAUUUGUUGUGAUUGAAAGAUUUUAUAUAAAACAAAAGAUAUGUUUUUAUCUUAAAAAAUGCUUAUUUUCAGAUCUUUACAUAUAGACAUACAUAUGGCCUGAGAAUUCAAGCAAUAAAGACAUAAGCUGAUGAGCAUUCAUAAUCAUUAGAAUGAGUACUGAAUGGUCAACUCUUUCAAAAUACUUCGGAAAAAAACAAAGGACAAUACUUCCUUCCUUACUCAUAAGAAGGAACUCCUUCUCACCUUCUAUUGUCCCUCAACCACAAAGUAACAAGUGUUCUCUUUUUUUAAUUGUCAAUUUUUUUUUUUUCACUUUUACUGAACCCCUAGCUUUUUACCAAAGCAAAAAACACAAAACAAUAUUCCCAUUGUUUUUUUUUUUCAUUUUGAUUUUUUUCUCAACUUUUUGAAAAAUAACAUUUUUCCUUCUUCAGUAAAAAAUUGAAGUCUUUGUGGUUAAAAGCUAAGGUUUCAGUAAAGGUUUAAAAUAAAUAAAAAGUUUUGACAAUUCAAAAAACAGAACACAUAUCACUUUGUGGUUGAGCCGCAAUAGAAAGUAAGAAAGAAUUCCACCUUACCCAUAAGGAGGGAAGUAUUGUCAAAAAGAAAACAUCUUAAAAAACACACAGAAAACCCACCAUCACUACUUAAAAGAAGUAGAGAAGUCCAACAUUCUGAUUUUUAUACACCUACGUGACGUGAGCAUUCAAUAAUCAUCCUACACAUAUGUUGAUGUGAGCAUUCAAAAUCAUUAGAAUGAUUUAAUUGAAGACUCAACGUACGGACGUCUUUUUCACUUAGAUUCCCUUCCUGUACAAACUUGAAUCAGUUCCUCCACGACCCCAUCAAUCUCUUCAUCCUCUUUCUUGUUCACGUUGUCGCUUAUUUUCAAUGCCUUUUUUCUCACUCCCUCUCCAAAUUUCUCCACAACCACAUCUCUAAUCACCUUUGCGACCUCUUCUCUUUGCAAACUUCCUUCACCUGUUCUCUUAACCUCCACACCAACACCCACCUCCUCCACUAGUCUAGCGUUGAUCGGCUGGUCAAGAUGCAUAGGCAUGGCUAUAAUUGGAACACCAAACUUGAUGCUCUCCAACACUGAGUUCCAUCCGCAGUGACUCACAAACCCCCCAACACUAGAAUGCUGCAGUAUCUUUGCCUGUGGGGCCCAACCCUCCAUUAUCACUCCCUUCUCUCCCACCCUCUGUAAAAACCCUUCUGGUAACACCUCUUCAACCCUAGUACUUCUCUCCUCCUUAGAAAAUCUUAUAACCCAAAUGAAGCUCACUUUGCUAAGCUCUAAUCCGUGAGCUAUCUCUUCUAUUUGCUCCUUGGACAGAAAGUACUCACUGCCAAAGCAAACAUACACAACAGAAGACCUUUCCAUUUUGUUCAGCCAUUUCAUGAUCCAUGUUUCCUCAUCAACUUUUUGAUCCAUUGGCUCUUGAACAAGCGUGCCAACAGGCACGAUCUUCUUCCCCGUUAAAUCAGAGAGAUAAUCAAUAUAUUUUUCUUCAAUCUCGCUGGAUGUCUUGACCAAAAUGAUGUUACAAGAUCGAGCACUGCAUUGCUGAACACGGUCUCCGUCUUUGAUGCCAUUUGCUGAAGAUUCCAACAAAUUGUUGAACUUUUCAGCUUCGUAAUGUUGAAGAUAAAUCGAAGGAAAAGGAAACUUGACACUAGGGUUCUUGAGAUGUUGAAUACUAAAUGAAGUAAAGGCAGCACCCAUGGUGGUGAAUUCAAUGGAUGGAAAAUUUUGCAAUGAAGCUAGAGAGGGCGCCCAUGGUUGAAGAACAUCAUAUAUGAGCAAAUCUGGACUUAGGGUUUUGAGGAUGUUGGAGAAGUUGUUGCUGGACAUGCUGAAAGCCGUUUUGAGAGUGGACAUGAGAUGGGGAGGGAGGCCAUUGGUGGUGUGGUAGUGCGGUGGGAGUUCAGGCAAGUCAUCAUGUGGAAGAUGGAGUUCCACAAAUUCAAUGCAAUGAGAAUAUUUUUGGGAGAGUUUAGGCUUGAUGGAGCUGAGAUUUACAGGCGUGGAACAAAUAAAGAUGUGAAAAUUUCUCUUGGUGGUCAGCUUCUUGGCUAGCUCUAGGUAGGGAGAUAUAUGGCCGUGAGCUAGCCAUGGAAGCAAAAGAAUAGUAAGGCUUCUUUGGUCAGAGAAAACCAUAUUUUGUUUUCCUUUGACUUGUUUUCCUUUGACUCUUUUGCUUGAGGUUGCUCGAUUAUAGGCUUAUUGGUAGUUUGUUUGUGGCUAGCUCUAUGCAUAUAUAUAUAUAUAUAUAUAUAUAUAUAUAUAUAUAUAUACACACACAAAAACGCGUGAUGAUUGGAACAUGCACACGUAAGUUCCAGAGAGUGAUGAUUGGCCUAUGAUAAAGACUCGAAACAAGAAUAGUUUAAAUUUUCUUCUUUGUUUGGCUUGAUAUAAGACGAAUGCACCAAACAAACCGACUAAAUGCCGACACAAUAAUUAGGUACGUAAUAAUAUCAACUUUCAUUAUAUAGAUCUGAGAAACAAAAAGUUGAACUUUGAUGACAAGCGAUAUUAAGGAAGGGCACAAUCGAACUUAGGAUCUCGAAUGUUGAAGUACAUGCUCUUAACAACUUGAGCUAUAAGGUAUUUGUAAUGACAAUUUAUGGUUUUAAUUAUACUUUUGAAUAGUUGCUUCCUUCUCUUUCAUUUUUAUUUUUAUUUGUUUAUAUUUAACUCUAAUUUUAUUUAUAUUUCUGGUCAAGGUAUAAAGACUUUGAAUCUCUCUCCAAUUAUUUUUCACAGCCGAAACUCCUUUAGUUUCCACAAAUCUUUUUAAACAUUUCAGGCAUAUGUAUGUUUCCGAGUCGGAUGGUUCACGUAACCAAGAAAUUUAAACUUGUUUUUGUUUGUUCCUCCGAAGAAAGCACAACAAAAGGACAACCUACAACCAAUACUUCUCAUUGAAUUUGUUGCCGUGAAUGAUUAGGACUCUGCCCAAACUAGUAGUUGCGUUUCUGAAUUGUUUGAAAACACAUAUCAAAUUAUGAUUUCUCCUCCCCGAAAGAAAAAUUGACGUAGAAGUAUCAUGAUCUUGAUGACACAAAUUAGAAUCUAGGGUUUUCGAAGUGCCUAAUGGACAACUACUUAUUUAGAAAUAUAUAUAUUUUUGUGGCUAAAAUUUAAAUUUAUUAUAUAUAUUCUCAAUGCAGAAACACAUAAAUCUAAGUUCGAAUUCAUCCUUUUUUUGUUUUUUUUUUUUUGUUUUUUUAACCCAGAAGAAAAAUUGAGUCCCACUCUGCUGUGUAGAAUGCGCGUUUAGUAUAGAUUUUUUUAUUUUUGAGUCUCUUAUCUGGUUCCCGAGCUUCUACAUUUAGGUCUCGUGUAUUUAUCUGCAUUUUCUUAAAUCUAAAUCACUCAAACAAUCUAACCACUUAACAAAUGACACGUACUCAAACUUAAAAUCAGAAUGGAUGGAGUAGAGGCUUACACCGAUGAUUCUUGGUCAAGACUUGAGAGACAGAUGGAGACGAGGCAUGACAUAAAGUCUGAAGAAGAGAAACGAGGAAGCUUCAUUUAGAUGGUGGUGUAAGUGCAUACGUAAAGUCCAGAUUCAACAGGAAAGCAUCUUAAACGUAAAGAAAAUAAGUUUACCAGAAGCAAAAGAGAUACUGAAGUAAUUGUUUAUCAACUGAACUUAAACGAAAUAUUAACUCUUUGUUGUGCCAUAAGCACAAGAUCUUAUGAAAAAAAAUUCAAGAUAAACCAUAUAAUAUUGGGAGAUUCACGUUUAUACCGAAUAUAGGAAUUCAAAUUAUAAAAUAAAUAAAUAAAUAAAAUAAUCGAUAUGAAAUGGACUUUAGAAACACACACAAAGCCUAUUUACAACAUAACAAAAAGGUUUUUCCCUUCUUUUAAAUUACAAAACUGCCAUUGAUUUCUUAAAACAAACCCAACUCCAAAACCUCAUUAAAAAAGCACAAAACACUCAAUAGGGUGUCAAAGUAAUUUAAUAAUAAAAAAUAAAUUCAAUAAGGCCAAUUGAAUUUUUUGGAUUUUUUUUUGGGUUUGUUUAUAGAAAUUAAUGGUGUAGGGUUUAUCUAUAUUAUUGGUGUUAAGAAUGAAUAAUGACUAAAUAUCUCUAUAAUAUUUUCUAACUCACAAAAUAAUAUAGAAAAUAAAUGCAAGAACAAGAAAAUAGCAAUAUGCAAUUUAACGAAGCUGCUUACAAUCAGUGCAAAUGAGCAAACAAAUUCGCUAUUAAUUUAUGAAGUGUUUUUGUAUUUACAAUACCGCCUCUUGAAUGUCCACCAUACAAUAAUAUAGUUGCAUCAUUAAAAACUUUACUUGAAAAAUCGUUUGGGACAAAACUUAAGCUAAGAGAAAAAGAGUGCAACACAAAUGAUAUUGACAUCACAUAUGUCUCUCCUACAGAGUGAGCUUUGGUGAUGCUUGUAUAAAAAUUGCUUUCACAUCAUUAUUGGGAGAUGUAUGUAUGUCAUCAAUCAUUUGAAUCUUGUUGAGGUUAAAGUAAAACCAAAAAAAUAUCAAGGGCCAUUUUCAUAUAGUUUUUCACAAUAAAAAUUAACAAAAUAACUUCAUGUUCUUUAAUAUCAUCAAAAAAAUAAUAUAAACAAACUCAUAGUUUACCUUUUCAAUGAUAAGUGUUUGGAAAAUUUACAUGGAAUAAUAUUUGGUAUGCUAUGCUAGCAUCUCAUAAGCUCUUCAAGAGACCUAAAUUUUAUGAUAACUUCUUAAAAAAAUUUGAAUACUUUUCAACAAUAUUAAACUUGAAUUCAAACUCAUAAUUCAAUCAAAGUACUCAUUGAGGCAAUUUAGAUCAUUUUCAUUUUAAGAAAAUUGGGUGCAUACAUUGAGCUUCAUGCCCUUUACCUUCUUAGAGAUUUUCUUCGAGCAAUUUAUAUUGCAUGACAGAUUAUAUCUCUUAGAAUUUGUUCUUAUGUAUUCUUCAAGAGAUCUCUUCUUGCAAUAUGCUUCAAACACUUCAUAAUCUUUAUAGAUUUUUCAUGUAGAUUUAAGGUCUCCAUGAAUAUUGAGAUUGAAACAAGGAGUAAAAUAAAAGUUUAAGAAAAAUUUUCCCUGAUUAUUUUGUAAUUAUAAUGUUGGUGAAAACCUAAUUUCCUUUCUGAAAUUUGUGAAAUUUGUUAUUUGGCUAAGCUAAAAGUAUAAUAUUGACAAUAAAACGUAUACGAAAGUUUCUCUUUGGCUGGCUUCUUGGCUGGCUCUAGGAAGGGACAUUGCGGCCAUGAGAUAACCAUAGGAAGCAUAAUAAGAAUGCUUGGAUGCUCUGAACAAUCCAUUUUCUGACUCUUUUUCUUGAGGCGGUUGUUUUCUUAGGCCCAUCAGAGUUUAUGGUCGACAGAUAAGCUUCAAACACAUGCAUUGGUCGUGUCAGUUGCGAUAAACUCUUCCCAACAAUCUGAGACUCACAUCACUCCAAACACAUAAAAAGAAGUGGAAAUUUGCUAUUCUUUGUCUUUGUUUGGACAGCUAAUAGCAAAGCAUUGGAAACAUCGAAAAAAGAAAGUUAAUUAAUUUAAGAAAAACAAAGAAAUCCUUCUUUUUUUUUCUUUUUUUUUUCAGCAAACCGAAACAUAAAAUCCGAAAAAGAAGAAGGCAUGUCCAAAAUUACAUCUUGAAUUUAUUUUGGAGAUUCACUAUUAUACUCAAAUUAUAUAUGAAAUAAAUUUUAGAAACACACAUGACGCCAAUUUACAAUAUAACAAAAAAACUUUUAACUUCUUGUAAAUUACAAAAUUGUUAUCGAUUUCUUAAAACAAGCCUAAUCCUAAAACCUCAUAAAAAAAAAAUCAAAACACUCAAUAAGGCAUCAAAGUAAUUUAAUAAUUAAAAUUAAAUUUAAUAGGGUCAUCUGUCAUUUUUUGGAUUUUUUUCGAAGUUGUUUAUAAAAAUUAAAAUAAUGUAUAGUUUGUUUAUAAAAAUUAAAUGAUGUAGAGUUUCUUUAUAUAAUUAAUGUUAAUAAUGAGUAUAUGAAUAAAUGUCACUUUUCUUUAUUAACCAUUUAUAAUAUAUGAACUCAAGACUUCCUAUCGAACACCGAAUGGUCUUUCCAUUCCUUGUUAAUUCAAAGUCUGAAAAUGUUCGGUGUCAGCUCAUGAAUUUAAAGGCUUAAAGGCUCAAAACUUGAACGAAUAUGAAAGAAAAAAGUCGUUCACCGUUCAUCCUCUUCCUGCAGCUGUGCAUGCUAAUCACCCACUGAAUUAAACAUACAAAUACGCUUUAUGUUUUCUCAAAUUGUUCUUUGAACUAAGUAGAGGUUGGAAUACACUCGGGGUCAACAUUGUUCAAAUACAAAACACUUCUUAAUUUUAUAUUUUAUCAAAACAGAUCGAAACUUCAUUCAAACUGAGAACCUAGAUUACAAAACUACCAGAAAAACUGGAAUCUGCACUGUGGCCUCAUUAAAACCUUGCUUUAAAAAACUCCUAAAAGAGGAGAAUUCAGUCAAGAAAAAAGAGUACCACAGCAAGUGAAAUCCGAUAUCAUACUUCAUUCCUUUCUCAUACAAAGUUGAAUCAACUGCUCUACCACCCCAUCUAUCUCUUCAUCCUCUCUCUUUUUCAUGUUGUCUCUCAAUUCCAUUGCCUUUCUUUUCAAACCCUGUCCAUUUUCUUCCACCACCACAUCUCUGAUUACUUUUGCUAUCUCGUCCCUUUUCAGCCUCCCGUUCUCGUUGCCGCCUCCUCCCAUUCUCUUAACCUCCACACCAACUCCAACGUCCUCUACUAUUCUAGCGUUAAUAGGCUGGUCAAGAUGCAUAGGCAUGGCUACAAUUGGAACGCCAAACUUGAUGCUCUCCAACACUGAGCUCCAUCCACAGUGGCUCACAAACCCACCAGCACUAGAAUGCUUCAAUACUUUUGCCUGUGGAGCCCAACCAUCCACUAUUAUUCCCUUCUCCCCCACCCUCUCAAAAAACCCUUCUGGUAAUACCUCUUCAACCCUAGUACCUUUCUCUUCCUUAGGAAAUCUUAUAACCCAAAUAAAACUCACUUUGCUAAUCUCUAGCCCAUGAGCUAUCUCUUCUAUUUCCUCCUUGGAUAAAAAGUACUCACUGCCGAAGGAAACAUACACCACCGAAGAUCUUUCUCUAGUGUUUAGCCACUUCAUGAUUUUUGUUUCCUCCGAAUCCACUUCUUGCUCUAUAAGGUCUUGAACAAGUGAACCAACAGGCACAAUCUUCUUCCCAAUUAGAUCAGAGAGAUAAUCAAUAUAUUUUGCUUCAAUCUCUCUAGAACUCUUAACUAAUACGAUCUUACAAGAACGAUCGCUGCACUGCUUAGCACGGUCUCCAUCACUGAUGCCAUUUGAUGAAGAUUCUAACAACAUCUUGAUCUUACUAGUCUCGUAAUAGAUUGAAGGAAACGGAAAUUUGACACCAGGUUUCUCGCCAUGGUGGGUACAAACUGACAUCAUGGCAGCACUGGUUGUGAAGAACUCGAUGGCUGGAAUGUUUUGUAACAAAGCUAGAGAGGGUGCCCAUGGUUGAAGAAAAUCAUAAAUUAGCAAAUCCGGGUGUAGGGUUUUGAGGAUGUUGGAGAAGUUAGGGCUUGCCCUGUCGAAGGCGGUUUUGAGAGUGGACAUGAGGUGGGGUGGGAGGCCAUUGGUAGUGUGGUAAUGAGGUGGGAGUUCAGGCAAGUCGUCAUAUGGAAGAUGUAGUUGCACGAGUUCAAUGCAACGAGAGUAUUUUUCAGAGAGUUGUGGCUUGAUGGAUCUGAGAUUUACAGGUGUGGAACAAAAAUAGAUGUGAAAAUUUCUGUUGGUCAGCUUCUUUGCUAGCUCUAGGUAGGGAGAUAUGUGUCCAUGAGCUAACCAUGGAAACAUAAGAACACUGAAUUUUCUUUGCUGAGAAGAAUCCAUUUUUUCAGACUCUCUCCAUUCAGGUCGUUUGUUUUAUAGAUCUAAUAAGUGAGAUGAAAAGAUGACAAAAUAUAUACAGAUGAGUCAUGUGAAUCUAGGUUUUUUCUUCGUAGUCAGAAGAGUCGUGCGUAAGUGCAUGCGUGUAUACAAGACAAAAGACAUACGUUAGACUUCUUUAUCUUCGUUCGUGCUGAUAUAUAUUAAGAAACAGACCCUUGCAACUCUAAUAUCCUAGACAAAAAUUCAAUUUUAAAAACUGAUGCUAUGUCCUGUGUUUUCCUAAACAAUCCCUAUUUUCUGUAGUCUUUCAAUUAUUCUAAAUUUGCUCAACAUUCAAUAUAACAUCAAUUUCUUAUAAAUCCCUGAACUUUCUCUAGCAUUCAAAAUUUUAAAACAUUCUCAAAGUAAUUCGGCUUCAAAGGAAUGGUAAACUUAGUAAUGGCUUCUUUUCCCCUUUCACGAUGCAGUGGCUGAGAGUUCUGAGAACGGAAGUUGUAGUUGGGUGACUUUGAUUCUUUUUAGCUGAUGCCUACUGCUUGAAUGAAAUGGAGCAAAGAGGUCAUCAGUACUUACACUGCUACUAGGAGGGUAAGCUUGAUUAUGUGUAUACUAUAACUUUAGAGUUUUGGUAUUUGGAAUGAUGAUAAUUUCAAUGUUACAUUUAUUUUGUUUACUACACUAUGUUUCUUUGUUGAACUCAAAUGUCAUGCUGAUAAAAAGAAAUAUAUUGUUGUAUGAAAUUGAAUCAAUAAGGAAAUUGACUGAGAUUUAAAAAUAAAAUUACACAGACACAGCAUGCAAUAUUAAUGCAAUAUUAAAUCUGUGUUAAAUAAUGUAGGACAGAUAGAUUAGCUGAUCGAGGAGCAGCUGGAUAAGCCCGUGCAUGUCGUUGUGCCAGAAAAGCCCAAUUCGUGCAAGUAUGGGCCCUGAACUCUUAAUUAGGCUAUGAUCUGUCAUUUUGAAGAGAACGGCGUGACAAGUGCAACUCACUGCUGUAUUGUGACAUACGGACUAUUUUAGUCAAAUUCUAUCAUUUACAUUGCAUUUUCAGCAUUUAAAGUUUUUUAAAAAAUUUGGAAACUUUUGUUAUUUUCCUUUUUUGUUUUCUAAUUAGCUUUCUUAGCAAGUCUAGGGGUUCUCUUGUAUAAAAGGAAUGCAUUGGAGCAUCCUAAACUAUUCAGUUUAUUAUCAAUCAAAUACUUUUGAGUUAUACUAAAUUUCGGAUGGAUCCGGCAUGUUACUUGCAGGGUUAUCAUUCGAUCUCCUUAUUCCCUAUAUCUCGCUACGUCAGCUGUCAUGGCCAACUGGGGAAGUCGUGUAAUGGAUAUCACUUAUGGUGUGCACCAUGUGUAGUAAAUAGUUGUCCAAAACCUUUCCCGCAGCUCUAGUGCAAGGGUGUAUUGUGUGCACGUUUGAGGCGUGCAUAUAGGUUCCGUAAAUUUCAUGAGCUUUUUAUGGCUAGUUCUUUCGGGAAGUGCAUAGGGAGUGAUCAACUUCUUGGUCACUAACCUGUUUGAUAUUCUUAGUAAUGGGGUGUUAGUUGGAUUGACUUAGACUUUUAGUUUGCUCUCAAGUGGUCCCGAGUUGAAGCCCCCACGGUAUCCGUGUGUGUGAAUUUUCCCCUUCCCUUUCCUAAUUUAACAACAACAACAAAAAAUACUUAUUUGAUAUCCUGGUUUAUUUAUUUAUUCUUUUUUAAAAAAAAAUUUAAAACUUUUUUUAUUAAAAGGGGUAAUAUCAUACUAAACUCACACACACUACAUAGAUGAUAGGACUUGAAUUCACCAUAAUCGUUUUUUAGGAGCAAUUACUUAUGGUAAACAAUUACUUCAAACCACUACACUAGUAGUCAUUAGCGGCGUUUUAUAUUCUUGCACAAGCUAUGUGGUCACUAAUAUUUUGUGUAUUAAGGGCUUGUGGUGUUUCAAUGUUGAUAAAAAUGCCAAAUCAGAAUUCAAUACAAGAGUACAACCACCUAAAGGAUAGCAAUGAACAGAUACUAUUUUAUCCACACAAAAAAAAGUUUAUCUGAUAUGAGCAUUAUUCAAAAUCAUUAGAAAAUGAGUACUGAAUGCUAAAAAGACGCUAAAACGUAGAGUCAAAGCCAACAUUCACAUGAUCGGCCAUCAGAUACGCUUAGCAUUCAAAAUCAUUAAAAUUAUUAUUGAAGUCUCAACUCCUUUUCACUUAAAAGUAGAUAUUUGUUUCCCUUCUCCUACAAAUUGCAUCAAUUCCUCCACGACCCCAUCUAUCUCUCCAUCUUUGUUUUUCAUGUUGUCUCUUAAUUCCAAUGCCUUUUUUCUCAUGCCCUCUCCAAUUUUCUCCACAACCACCUUUCUGAUCACCUUCGCCAUCUCUUCUCUUUGCAAAAUUCCUUCUCCUGUUCUUUUAACCUCCACACCAACACCCACCUCCUCUACUAAUCUAGCGUUAAUUGGCUGGUCAAGAUGCAUAGGCAUGGCUAUAAUUGGAACACCAAACUUGAUGCUCUCCAACACUGAGCUCCAUCCACAGUGACUCACAAACCCACCAACCCUUGAAUGCUUCAAUAUGUUUGCCUGCGGAGCCCAACCCUCCACUAUAAUUCCCUUCUCCCCCACCCUCUCUAAAAACCCUUCUGGUAACACCUCUUCAACUCUUUUACCUUUCUCUUCCUUUGGAAAUCUUAUAACCCAAAUAAAGCUCACUUUGCUAAGCUCUAACCCAUGAGCUACCUCUUCGAUUUGCUCCCUGGACAAAAAGUACUCACUCCCAAAGCAAACAUAAACAACCGAAGACCUUUCCCUUUUGUUCAUCCAUUUCAUGAUCCAUGUUUCCUCAUCAACUUUUAGAUCCAUUGGCUCUUGAACAAGCGGACCAACUGGCACGAUCUUCUUCCCCAUUAAACCAGAGAGAUAAUCAACAUAUUUUGCUUCAAUCUCUCUAGAUGUCUUCACCAAAAUGAUGUUGCAUGAUCGAGCACUGCAUUGCUGAACGCGGUCUCCGUCGUUGAUGUCAUUUGACGAAGGUUCUAACAGAUUGUUGAACUUUUUAGCUUCGUAAUCUCGAAGAUAGAUCGAAGGAAAAGGAAACUUGACACGAGGGUUCUUGAGAUGGUGAACACGAAGUGAGCUCAAGGCAGCACUGGUGGUGAUGAACCGGACCGAUGGAAUAUUUUGCAACGAAGCUUGAGAGGGUGCCCAUGGUGGAAUAAAAUCAUAAAUGAGCAAAUCUGGCUUUAGGGUUGUGAGGAUGUUGGAGAAGUUAUUGCUGGACAUGUCGAAGGCCCUUUUGAGAGUGGACAUGAGAUGAGGAGGGAGGCCAUUGGUGGUGUGGUAAUGAGGUGGCAAUUCAGGCAACUCUUCAUGUGGAAGAUGAAGUUCCACAAAUUCAAUGCAAUGAGAGUAUUUUGGAGAGAGUUUUGGCUUAAUGGAGGUGAGAUUGACAGGCGUGGAACAAAUAAAGAUGUGAAAAUUUCUCUUAGAGGUAAGCUUCUUGGCAAGCUCUAGGAAGGGAGAAAUGUGGCCGUGAGCUAGCCAUGGAAGCAUAAGAACAGUAAUGCUUUUGUGCUCAGAGUAAACCAUCUCUCUCUUUGGCUCUUUUCUUUCGGUUGUUUGAUUAUAGGCUGAUAGGUUCGGUUAUGGCUAGCUCUAUGUGUGUGUGUGUAUAUAUUUAGCAUCACAGAAGUUGGAAGGGACGCGAGGAGUCUUCGUGUCAGUGCAUACUUAAGUCAAGGGAAAUACGUGGCAUAAAUUUUUGGGGUAAUGUUAAGUUUAUCACAUUUUUAUACGAUAUUUUUAAUAAAGAUGAAGUCCACCAAUAUAAUAGAACCUAUCUUUAUUAAAAAUGUGAUACACAAUGUGAUAUAAAAAUAUGAUACGCAUAGCAUUUUCCAAACUUUUAUGAUAAAGAUUCAUAUGAGGCCAAUCACACAAAAGAAGUUCAAACAUCUUCUUUGUUUGGCCUGAUGUAAGAACCGACCAAUGUUUCUAGAAGAAAGUGCUUAGAAUACUUUUUUAUCUUAUAUAUAUUGGAAGGUAUUUGAAGUUGGAAUUUUAAUCGCCAAUUAAAAAAAAAAUGUUCCCUAAAGGAAGAGUGCCACUGCGUCAUUGGGGAGAUUGGAUCGUGAGGGAGAAAGGGGUUAUGCUGUCGAACAUGCAGUUUUAAAGAUUUUUCUUUCUUUUCUUUUUUUUUUUUAAACAACAAUUGUUGUUCAUAGAAGAAGCAGCAUGAUUUGGCAGAGAGGUGGCAUAGAUUCAAUGCAUAGAGAGACAUGUGGCCGUAGGCUGAGCAUUGACGGAUGAGAAUACCGAUGUGCCGAGAAAUAAUCUAAUUCUUAGAUUCUUUUGUUGGUGUACAGGUGUACAGUUAUGGUACUCAUGAUGUAGAUGAGUCAUGAUACAAUCUUUGAAGAAGAGCAACGUGGAAGCAACCAACAUAUAUAACAACAAACUACACUCACAAUAAAGCAUACGAAAGCAUAGAAACACCUUUUUACUUGAAUGUCAAUGUCAUAUGUGGUAAGAGCAUGUAUAAGGAAGUAUGUAAAUUUAUGUUGUCUUUUAGACUCUCUUUUUCUUUACUUUGGUUCAACAUGUAUGCUCCUCAACGACUGAUGACUCUCUUAUUGGCUGUAUUGUGGAGGAUGUUUAAGCUCUGCUAAAAGGAUUUCCACCAAACAAGUUCAUACAUACUUUCCGAGAAGCAAAUGAAGCUGCUCAUAGGGUAGCACAAUAUGCUUUGCACAUAAAUGAUAGUUUGUCUUGGUCAGAGGUGCUCCCUGCGUUUGUGCAGGACGCCCAUUUGGAACAUUCAGAUCGGAGUUAGGUGUUACGUUAUCAUUCAUUGUAUUAGUUUGCUUAGUUAAAUAAAGUUUUUUCUCGUACCGUCGAGGUUUUUGCAAUUAUACUCUAAAGGCAUAAGUAUCAUUGUACUUUUACGAAUAGUUUGGCACAAUAAAUUGUCGUGAAUUGAUCACUAAAUUCUGGGACUGUUUUGGAUUAGAUUGAACUGGCAUAAGCUGGAUUAAGUACUGACCUACAUUUGAUAUUGCAUCAGACUAAGAAACUAGAUUGCAAAAUAGUGAAAAUCUAUGUUUGAUGCUUUGUCGAACUAAAAAAUAAUUAUUUAAAUAUUUAAAUAUAAUAAUUUUUAGAUAAUUAAAUGUAAUUUAAGAUCUUAAAAUUAUUAACAUACUUCCUAGUUACCAAAUUGACAUGUGUUGGCAUAAGCCUUCUUAAUUAAUCAAGAAGAUUUAUUUCUUUGAUUAAAUAAGGGAUUUACUUUCUUAUUUUAUAUAGUCGAUAUAUCAUUGUACAAUUAGGAGAUAUUCUCCUAAUUGAUUACUGUAUCUAUUUCUUUGUACAGCUCUCAUGUAAACUCCUAUAUAUACCUCCUUAUGGAGAAGAAUACAAUUAACCUAAAGUAUUCAAACCAUAUUCAUAUUUUACCAUGGUAUCAGAGCAAUCGAUCCUAGCUUGUCUCUAAAUCCUCAUAUCAAAUUCCUCAUAUUCAAACACAAACCCUAAAUCAAAUUCUUCAAAUCCAAAUUCCUCACAUACAAAUCUCCCACUCUCAUAUCAAGUCCUCUUAUCAAAUCAAAAUCCCUAAACACAUCCCUUUAUCUUACCCUCAAAUCAUUCUGCUGCCAUAAACGCCGUCUCGUUUCCUCACACCGACGGCUCCUCCACCUCCACUCCCCAAAUCAUUGCUAUUCACAGCGACAACUCCUCAUUCCCUAUCGGCGUCACCCUGACUGAGACCAAUUAUGCCUUAUAGUCUCAAGUCAUGGAGAUGAGCAUUGUUGCCUGUGAAAAAUUGGGGUGCCUAACUGGCUAAGGUGUAUGAGAGGCAAUAUGUCCCUAAUUCCCUCCUCCGUGAUUAGGGAGGGUUCACACACUCUCUCUAAUUCCCUCAAUUUGGAUUCUGUGUUGAUUGUUCCAUCCUUGCACCAUUGUUUGUUGCCCAAAUUACUACGACUUUGAAUUGCACUGUAACCUUUCGGCCUACUCAUUGUGUUAUUCAAGACAUUCUCUGUAGCAAGACGAUUGGUUGUAGUACGAGGAGGGGCAAACUCUACUACGUGGACUUGGCAUCUAACAGAAGCCAGAGUCAGUCAAGCUUUCAAGAUUGGGGGUGCUAGUGUUGAGAAACGAACUGCCGACGUCUGGUUAUGGCAUAGGCUUCUUGGACAUGCUUCGUUUGGAUAUUUACAAAAAUUAUUUCCAUCCUUAUUUACCGGUUUAGAUAUUUCAAAUUUUAAGUGUGAUAUUUAUGAACUGGCCAAGAGCUAUCGUGUUCCUUUUCCCUUGAGUUCAAAUAAAAUUUUGGUUCCGUUUUCUCUUGUUCAUUCUGAUAUUUGGGGCCCUGCUAAAAUUUCCACUCUAGGGGGAGCUCGAUGGUUUGUUACGUUUAUAGAUGAUUGAACCCAAAUAACCUGGGUUUCCAUUCUCAAAACUAAAAAGGAAGUCAGUUCUAAGUUUCAACAGUUCCAUCAAAUGGUGGAGACUCAGUUCAUACCAGAAUCCAGGUUCUCCUCUUUGACAAUGGCAGAGAAUUUCUUAACCAUGAUCUUAACAAGUUCUUACAAGAUCAUGACAUCAUACAUCCACGCUCAUGCCCAUACACUCCCCAACAAAAUAAAGUGGUUGAAAGAAAGAACAGACAUCUAUUGGAAGUAGUUCGUGCCUUUCUCUUUGAUGCCAAUAUGCCUUAUUCAUUUUGGGGAGAAGUCAUCCUCUCUGCAGCUUACCUCAUCAAUCAGAUUCCCUUUAGUAUCUUAAAUUUCCAAACACAACUUCAAGCACUUCACCCCCAUAUCCAAAUACCUCCCAGCCCAAACCAGGAACCCCGGAAUUUCAAUUGUAUUGUAUUUGUACACUUACAUGAUCACCAAUGAAGCAAAUUGGAUCCUCGAGCUGAAAAGUGUAUUUUCAUUGGCUAUGCUCUUCAUCAGAAAUGAUACCGUUGUUAUCAUCCUCCAAGUCAGAAGGUCUAUACCUACAUGGAUGUCGUGUUCUGGGAACACGAUAUAUAUUUCUCAGCCGCACAGGAGGAGAAUCAAGAAUCACUCCCUCCAAAAAAUUUUGAUUUUUUCCCUCAGAACUGCUCCCUGCCUCAAAGCGACAUGUCGCACAACUCACUCAACUGGUCACCCCUAGACUUUCUUGUAGGCUAACAGUUUGCUUCAAAACGACUAGUAGCCUACUUCAUGCGACUGAUCAUCCUUUUUUGUUCCUUCACAGCCGGCAACUCUGUCUCAAAGCGACCGGUAGCUAAUAGAAAGCGACCGGUCAACUCCACACUACCAAAAUCAGGAUGAGGAAAUUGAACCGUUUCAUGAGAUUUCUCCCGCUCCAUAGAUGUCUUCAGCUCUAGUACCACACCAAUCAUCUAUUAAGAACGUCAUUCAGGUAACACCUUCCCCUGAAACUGAUAACACUAAUGAAAUAUACCAUGAUGAUGUGAUUUCAGGAAACAUAAGGGAUGCAGACAUCCCUACGUGUCUUCUCCUAGAAAGGACAAACCGUGGUAAACCUUGAGUACAGUAUGAAGUAGAUCUUAAAGCCAAAGAAAAGUACCCCAUCAACAAUAAUAUAUCCCUAAGCAGAUUGUCGUAAUCAGAUGCACAUUUUGUGAAGGAGUUGGCCGACAUAUCUGUUCUCAGUAGUGUAAUUGAAGUACUAUGAGACUCAAAAUAGAAAGAAGCCAUGAAAGAAGAAAUGCGAGCGCUUUAGAAGAAUGUCACAUGGGGCUCGUGCCUUUACCUCACAGAAAGAAGAUAGUGGGAUGCAGGUGGGUCUAUAUUGUGAAACUCAAAGCAGAUGAAUCCAUUGAAAAAUAUAAAACUAGACUGGUGGCAAAAGGGUGCACACAGAUAUGGGGUGGACUACCAGGAAACCUUUGCCCCAAUAACCAAGAUCAACACUAUCAUAAUCCUACUGUCUCUAGUAGCAAAUCUAGACUGGCCACUACAUCAGUUUGAUAUUAAAAAUGCCUUCUCACAUGAAUGAAGAAAUGCAAGCGCUCUAGAAGAAUGUCACAUGGGGCUCGUGCCUUUACCUCACGGAAAGCAUAUAAUGGGAUGCAUAUGGGUCUAUAUUGUGAAACUCAAAGUAGAUGAAUCCAUUGAAAGAUACAAAGCUAGACUGGUGGCUAAAGGGAACACGUAGAGAUAUGGGGUGGACUACCAGGAAACCUUUGCCCCAAUAACCAAUAUCAACACUAUCAGAAUCCUACUGUCUCUAGCAGUAAAUCUAGACUGGCCACUACAUCAGUUUGAUGUUAAAAAUGCCUUCUCACAUGGAGACUUGGAGGAAGAAUUCUACAUGGAUUUACCACUAUGAUGUAGUGUAGCUCCUAACAAGAAGAAUCAUGUUUGCAAUCUCAAAAAAUCACUAAAUGGUUUAAAGCAGUAUACCAAGGCAUGGUUUGCAGAUUCACUAAAUCCAUGAAAUUUUUUGGAUACACUCAAAGUAAUUCAUAUCAUACUCUAUUCUUGAAGCACAAAGGUGAAAAAAUCACUGCAUUAAUCAUGUAUGUGGAUGACAUGGUUGUAACUGGGAACGACACAUGAGAACAACAGAAGCUGCAAAAGUAUUUGUCUAAGGAAUUUGAGAUGAAGGAUUUAGGUCAUCUGAAAUACUUUCUCGAAAUAGAAGUAUCGAGGUAAAAAACUGGGAUAUUUAUAUCUCAAAUGAAGUAUGUGAUGGAUCUACUCACCGAAAUAGGAAUGUUUGGAUGUAAGCCUACUGACACACCCAUUGAGAUGAACCACAAGUUAUGUGAAGACAUGGGCCGGGUGCCUACCAAUAAGGAACAAUACCACUGCCUUGUUGGAAAAUUAGGAAUGCAGUUGAUCUGAUCGGAUCUUAAGGUAUUUAAAGUCAACCCCUAUAAAGGGACUAAUGUUCUCCAAGAAUGGAAACCUUGAAGUUAUUGGAUAUACAGAUGUUGACUGGGCUAAUUCCAUUACAAAUAUAUGCUUUACAUCAGGUUAGUUUACAUUUGUUGGAGGUAACCUUGUUACUUGGUGAAGUAAAAAACAGAAUGUGGUUUCCACGUCUAGUGCAUAAGCAGAAUAUAGAGGAAUGGCUUAAGGAGUUUUUGAAUUAUUGUGGAUCAAAAGACUCUCGACCGAAUUGGGCUUCAAACUAGAAAAGCCAAUGAAGUUACAUUGUGACAACAAGUUAGCUAUCGAUAUUGCUCAUAAUCCAAUUCACCAUGAUCGAACCAAACAUGUUGAGGUGGAUAGACAUUUCAUGAAAGAAAAAAUUGAGAAUAAGAUCAUCCGUCUACCAUUCGUAAAAUCAAAAGAUCAACUUGCAGAUGUCUUAACAAAAGUUGUUUGUGGAAGAGUGUUUUAUGACUUACUUACCAAGUUAGGUAUUAGUAAUGUAUAUGCACCAACUUGAGGAGGAGUGUUGAAGUGAGCCUUCCUAAUUAGUCAAGGAGAUUUAUUUCCUUGAUUUAUUAAGGGAUUUACUUUAUUAUUUUAUAUAGUUGACAUAUCAUUGUAUAAUUAGGAGAUAUUCUCCUAAUUAAUUACUAUAUCUAUUUCCUUGUAAAGCUCUCAUGUAAACUGAUAUAUAUAACUCCUUAUGGAGAAGAAUACAAUUAACCUAAAGUAUUCAAACCAUAUUCAUAUUUUAGCAACAUAUACAUUUCCUUUCCCCAAACCAGAGGUUUUUUUGUUUGUUGUGAAAAUUAAAAAUUCCACACAAUUUAUGUAUACUUGAGUCAUUAUUUAUAUGCAAGCACAAAGAAUUUAAGGUUUGAUAUGCCAAAUAUUCGAUUAAUGUAUCAAUACCAACCACUUACAUCAACUUGUGUGUCAAGAAUUUAAGGUUUGAUAUAUGCAAAACUCAUAAUUUCUUCAUAUAUGCAAAAGGCAUCUACAUGACUCGAAAUUAGAAGUUGAGCUAACCGCACACAAUUCCACCAUUAAUACAUACAAGUAAAUUAAAUAUCCACAAUUCCAAGAUGAACCUAAGAAGCCCUAUGAUGAACAAAAGUUAUAUCUCGCAAGUGCACAAAUCGAUAUGAUAGUAUAGCAAGCAAAUACGAGAGUCGUUCCCAUAAAGAUUUGUACAGUUUAUUAAUUAAUUCCAAAUAUGAAUACUUUAAGAAAAAUAAAAAAUAAAAUAAAAUAUUAAAAUAUUAAAAUAGCUUAAAAUAAGAUUACUCGAUUUUAAUCUAAGUGUAGAAAAUUAAGAAAAUAAAAUAACAAAAGUUGGAAAUUAGUUUUGAAAAUCAAUGGAUGAAAACUAGGACUCCGACUUUACCAUAACAAUCUUAUUUUAUGCAUCGAGUUAAUUUUGAGAAUAAGGUGCCAAUUCGAUUCCAAGGAUUCGUUCUCUCUUUAUUUUGAUGAUUCAUUCAGCUGCAAUGUCACCAAGUAUUCUCAAUUAAACCUACUAAUGAACCACAUAGCCAAAUUUACGAGAACCCAAUAAGUGUAAUUAAGAAAAACAAUCAAGAGCAUCUUAACUUGAACCCCGGUUUAAAUAACAACUCAUUCAUUCAUAGUGCAUAUAAGAUUAAGGAAGAACCCCUCACCCAGUCUUAUCUUAGACAAUGCAAAAUACAUAUAAUGGUCAAUUACAAGUAUCAAGAUCACAAUUAUAAUAAUGAAUGAAACGAGGAAUAUAAAUUGAUUAAAAAUAAAAUAUUAACUCAAUAACAUAGAACCAUCAUGUUAGGUUACAUCGGAUCCCUAGCAAAGAAUUUAGUUACCCAUAGCCAUCUUCGAAACAAACAAUAUACUUAUGAACAUAUAAAAUAUAAAGUUUGAAUUAAGAUAGAAAAACCCUUAAAUGAAUCCACUGUAGUUGAACUCCUCAUCCAGCAAAUCUGGAAGGCUAUGAAUUGCUAAGAAUAUGAGUAUGUGAGUUGGAUGUUUUGAGAUAUUUAACAAUAUGCUAGGGUUCACCCAAUGUCACACCCCGGGAUCGGCUCCGCCGUAGCACGAUAUUGUCCGCUUUGGGCCCCCCUCUCUGCCCGCACGGUUUUGUUUCUGGGAGCUCACAAGCAACUUCCCAGUGGGUCACCCAUCCUGGGAUUGCUCUAGCCUCCAACUCGCUUAACUUCGGAGUUCCUACGACUCCGAAGCCAGUGAGCUCCCAAAAGGCCUCGUGCUAGAUGGAUGCGGGUGUGCACAUAUAAGGCACAUCACCCCCUCUCCGUUGGUUGAUGUGGGAUCUUACACCCAAAAUAUGUCCAGAAUAUGUAUUUAUUGGCUCUAGGACUUUCCCCAGUCAUAUAAGGAAUAGGAAACUUAAAACUCCCAAACCCUUGGAAAAAUAGCCAAAAAGGCCAAAAAUUCCAAGCUAGAUUCGAAUCGUGCACUCGAGCGCCAGAAUAACUAUAUAUUAAAACACCCAAAAAAAACUCUUCGUCCCUGGUACUACCCCUCUCCUUCCCCCCACAACCUUCCUACGUCUCUUACCCAGCCGACCAAAAUAAGCCUCCGCCACAACAAAAAUUUUAAAAUUAAAAAUGAAUAUUUGUGAACAGUGUGGAUGUCAUUUGAAAAUGAGUAGUUGCGUGCUCCUCCGGAAGCACACACUAUAAUAAGAGGUAAAAAUUGAUUGGUAGCAUACUCGGCCAAACGUGUGAUUUUUCGCCCACUACAGAUCCCAUACUACCCCCAAUAAACUGAAAAUCCAUAACUCCAAUGGCUAUAAACCCCAAAUCCUCAAUAACUUUGCAUUUUUCAUGACGUUAAGCCCAAAAGUAUGUAACUUUGCAUUUUUCAAAGGAUUAAUUACAUUUUUUGUCAUUGCGCUUUGGCUCGAAAUCAAAUUUUGUCACCAUGUUUUCAGUUUUCUUGAUUUUGUCACCCUACGUGCCUUCAAAUUGACAGAAAUAAAGGAUUGGACAAGAUUUGUUAAUGACUGCAAGUGGGGUAACGAAAUCAGAAAAAUUAAAAGCACGGUGACUAAAUUUGAUUUCUAGUUGAAUUUCACUAAAAUGUAUAGGGACGUGGAAUAAUUUUCGAGGAAGCUAUAGAGGGUGCCCAUGGUAGAAGAAAAUAUGAGAGCAAAUUUGGGCUUGGGGUUUUUUAGGAUGUUCGAGAAGUUAUUGCUGGCCAUGUCAAAGGCCCUUUUGACUGAGAGUGGACAUGAUCAAGAUGGGGAGGAAGGCCAUUGGUAGUGUGAUAGUGACGUGGCAUUUCAGGCAAGUCAUCAUGUGCACACAUGCACAAAUUCAAUGCAAUGAGAGAGUAUUUUUAAGAGAGUUUUGGCUUGAUGGAGCUUGAGAUAUAGAGGUGUAGAAAAAAGAAAGAUAUGUGAGAUGUACAGGAGACCGUGUGCUUGCAUAGGUAGUUUUUGUAUAGUGGAUAGAGAUGUAUUACGGAGUCUUGCCGUGAGUGCAUGCAUAGGUAAGUUCCAUUCUUAAAAAAGUAAACUCAAAAAUUAAUAAUUUUUAAAAUAUAAAAAAAAAAAAAAAAGAGUUUUCAUGUAACAAUUUUAAUAUUUAAAAACUUAUUUAGUAUUGAACUUUAAACUAUUUUUAAGAUCUAAAAAUAAUUGAAAUUAAAAUCAGAAAAUUAGGGCCUGUUUUGGAUUUGAAUCUAAUUUUAUAAACUCAAAAAUAAAUUUUAAGUUCAAAACUAAAAAAACCCGUUUUGUAUGCCUUUUUAAUAAUCCGAACCUCGAAAAAACUUUUAAACACCAACAAAUUAAAAGGAGAGAUUCACUAUUAUACCCAAUAUAGAUCCCAAAAUAUAAAAAACUCUUAUAUGAAAUGGAUUUUAGAAAUACAAAACUCAUUUACAACAUAACAAAAAGGCUUUUAAAUUACAAAACUGCCACUGAUUUCUUAAAACAAACUCAACCCCAAAACCUCAUAAAAAAACUCAAAACACUCAAUAGGGCAUCAAAGUAAUUUAAUCAUCAAAAUUAAAUUCAAUAGCGUCAGCUGUCAUUUUUUGGAUUUUUUUUGGGUUUGUUUAUAAAAAUUAAAUGGUGUAGGGUUUAUUUAUAUUAUUAUUGCUAAGAAUGGGUAUAUGACUAAAUAUCUUAUUUAAAAAAUAGAGAAAGGCGGUUUUUUUGGAAUUUUAUUUUUUUCUACUCAUCUCAUCGCUCGAGCUACGAUUGCUCUUAGCUCCUUCUGGUCAAGCUCAAGCUUCAAGCCCCCAUGGCAGAAGUUUGAAGCUUUCUUGCUCCCUUUCUCUCCAUCUCUCUCAUAAGUAACUUUAAGGGCUAGGCAUCUGAAGAUUGCCCUCGCUGUCUCCUCUCGUCUUUGCGAUUCUGUCAGUCAAAGUCUCAACAUCACACCAUUGGCUCGCCGUGAGCUGGAGUUGCACAUCUCUUAUGUCUACAAUCGGGUAAUUUUGAGUUCCCUUUUUGUCCUAGUUACUGAAGAUUAGGGAUUAAUUUUCAUUUGGGUUAUGUUUGAUUUAUUAUAUAUAGCUUAUUUAUAUCUAAUUCGAUUUGAUUUAUAUGAAUUCUUUUGUGUAACCUAAACUGUAAUUUUUUGCAAAAGCAUGAACAGAUAAAGGGUUUUGGAAUGGUACCUCUGUAAUUUCUUGAUACGUUGCCUUUGUGAUGAAUAUGAAGCCCUAGUGAAUCAACAGAUAGCAAGACAUUAGAACUCUGGCAUGUGAAAAUGGGUUUUGGAAAAAAAAAAAAAAAAAAAAGAAUGCCCAUAAAUAUUGUGGUAGAUAACAUGAUACCUCUUAUUUAUCUCUUUUAAGGUUGAUUUGAUUUCCUUUUUUGUUGCCUUUUUUAUAGUUUGUCAUGAGUUUCUUGUUCUUCAAGUAAAACCUUCUUUUCGAACUAUCAGUCAAACUAAUGCCAGAUACAUUUUAACGGCUAUAAACUUGCCUGCAUUAUUUAGAUGCUCAUUCUCCAACUUGGACCAUUGGAACAAAUUGUUCAUUAGAUUAGAGCUAUUGAACUUGAAAUGAAAAGGGUAUAUCUAACUUGAGUUUCAUGUCAGCUUCGAUAUGGCUGCACGUGUGGAAUGAUAGAAUCAUUGGGAUUUGGGGAUUUGAGUAAAAGUUCCACAUCCCUCUUAUGAUGACUUCAAGGGCUGCUAAAAUAAAAACACCCCAGCUUCACGAAAUACAUGGAGAACUCAAUGAGGGUUAGAUAAAGUUCAGCGGUUAGAUAAAGUUCAGCUUCUCUAUUUGAUUUCAUGGGUUUUCCCAUGGGUUAGAGAAGGAGAUGGCAGAGAGGGUAAGAGACAAAGAGGGUUUGGGACCUUCACCCUUGUCAGAUCUCUCUCUCUCUCUCUCUCCCACCUCCAGCAGCUCCAUACCACAACUAUAGUCCAAAUCCAAAUACUGAUUCGUUUUUAGGAAUAACUCACCCAAGGUCAAAUCCGAAAUCUCCGCCAAGGUCCGUCAAGGAAGAAUCUGGGAUCUAAGAUUUGGCAGUACAGACGGGAUUUUCCGAUAUGAGUGGAGUCGAUUUCGAUAUGCGUAUAUGGCGGGUUUUUUUGGGAAUAAUCUGGGUUGUGGUCGUUGUCAAGGAUGAAGAGGACUGAAGGAGAAGGAGGUGGUUGGAGUGGUUCUUUAGGCGGCGACAGGUUUUUUAUUUAUAGGGAUUCUUAGAUCUAGGUCUAAAACGAUUAAUUAAAACCAUUAGUUAAUCUGGGUUUAGUCUACGCGUUUUUUGUUUUAGAUAUAGAUCAUUUGACUUUUAUUACUUUUUUGUUGUUUCGAUUUUACCCAUUGGUGUAAAUAAGAAAAACACAUUGAAAAUCUAAAUUUAAUGCAUUAUUUCCUCAUAAUUAAAUUUCAUAUUUUGAAUUUGGAUUUCUUUCCUUGAUAAUAUUUACCUAAUAUAUAGAUAAAAUACAAUGUAAUUAAUGAAAGUAAAAACUCACAUAUUAUACAAAUUAUUUAGGCAAGCACCCACAUGAAAUUAUGUACCUAACAUACAAGUAAAUAGUGUUAUUAUUAGCAAUGGAAAAAACUUAAUGAUAAAUCGUGUUACCUAUAAGUUAGAAACAUAAAUUAAAAGACUACCUAUAAGUUAGGAACAUAAAUUAGAAGACUACCUAUAAGUUAAAUACAAAAAUAGGCAAAUAAAAAUUGUAUGUUAACUAAAAAAUAAAAAGGUACAUAAAAUACUAUUAUACAAUGUCAAAAAUAUGAAAAACGCAUAUAUACCUAUGCAAUAGGUAAUGGAACAAUAUACCUACACCAUAGGAUAAUAUAUUUAUAAGAGUAUGUAAUAUACCUCUACCAUAGAAUGACAGAAAUAAAAAUUGUUACCUAUAACUCAUGUGCUAAACGAUGUGCUACUGUAUUUGCUUCCCUAAAAACAUGUAAAAUAGAGGUUGAGUAAAUUGAGCCAAAAUAGACCCGUAGUCAUCCACCAAGCACCCCAAAACAAAGCUCUGUGGGAGUGGACUAUGGAUCACCCAAAAAAGUGCAUGGGCAUCACCUUCCACAAUCAAAUGCUCUGGACGCCAAGCAGUCAAUUUCCAUGAUGGGAGCAUUCAUGUACGUACAACAUGCCAAUUACAACAUACCUACACCAUAUACGUACAACAUACUUAACAUACCUACAUCAUGGGAACACUCGUGUAUAUUUGAAGACAUGGAGACAUGUGCACGGUUCAUGUGAAGUAAGAAGAUGAAGAGAGAAAAAGUAAAAAAGAAGACAUGAAAAAAAAAAAAAAAUGAAGUGUGAAUUAUAGGUAGUGGUUAAGAGAAUUUACCCAUGCACCCAAGGUCCUAGGUUUAAUUCUCCCCUCCUCUAUUAUCACUUGCAUGUGUUAAUAAAAAUAUUAUAGGAGGUUAACAUUAGGUCUAAUAUUAAAUGUGAUAAUUAUUUAAAAGGUCAAAUAUAUUAACUGUAUGCCUGAUAUGUCCCCUUCGACUAUAAUGAGUGGAAAGUUAUAAGGGGUAAGUUAUAAGGGGUUCACUUUAUAGCCAUUAGAUAAAUCCAAGGGCUGGGGAGAAUUGAGAUAAAGUUUCACAAUUGGGUAGGUGAGGAACCCAAACCCGAAUUGAAUAUCCAGCACGUCCAAAAAGAAGAAGAAGAGGGAAACACGUCCGAAAAAGAAGAAGAAGAGGCAAGUUCGAAGUUUGAACAGAAAGAACUCAUCUCUCUAAAACCCAGAGGUCUGAGAUACCCAAUGAAGACAACGGCUAACGACAGUUGAAGGCAACGAUUCGCCACUCCGUUCUCCAGACCCUGAAAAAGUAUUUAUUUGGAGUAGAAGGGGCAAAGGUGUGGAUUCCAAAUCAGUGAAGGGGCCAAGCAGUGGAAGGGGAAGGGGAGAAGCUGUAUUCGUUGGAAGUGGUAGGUUCCAUUUGUGGAGCAAAGAAACAGAAAGACCCCACACAGACACCUUGCAAUAACCAGCAUUUGGUGAGUAAUUUAUGGAAUUUGAGUUUAGGGUUAGAGUAAUGGUUUUCCCCAAUUUGUACCAUAAAUUUUGUUGGAUUUGGCAUCUCUUCAUUGUGCUUCAGUUGCAUGUUAAUUUUUGCUUAGGUAUAUGUUAAAAAAAGAAUGAAAAUCAAGUCAAUAACAAGUGAAUAACAUGUCAAUAAUGAUAUGAAUAAGAUAAUGGUGUUGAAUUGGAGGAGGCCCUCAAAACCUUCCAUAUUUGAAGCAGUGCAUAGUGCAGAUUAAGAAGAGGCGCUAGAAUAUAUAUAUAUAUAUUUUAUGAAGUAAAUAUGAUUUCCUUUGUUACUAAAUUUGCCUGAGAAACAUUUGAACAGAUAAUAAUAAACUCAUGAAUAGAACUGCAAAGCAUUUGAUGAGUAAUGUAAGGAAUUUGAGUUUAGGGUUAGAGUAAUGGUUUUCCCAAAUUUGUACCAUCAAUGUUGUUGGAUUUGGCAUCUCUUAUUUGUGCUUCAAUUGCAUGUUAAUUGUUGCUUGGGUAUAUGUUAAAAAACGAAUGAAAAUAAAGUCAAUCACAUGUCAAUAACAUGUCAAUAACAUGUUAGUAAUGAUAUGAAUAUGAUAAUGGUGUUAAAUUGGAGGAGGCGCUCAAAACCUUCCACAUUUGAAGCAGUGCAGAGUGAAGAGUACCUCUCUGGCACUAGAAUUUAUAUAUUUUGUGAAAUAAAUAUUAUUUCAUUUGUUACUAAAUUUGCCUAUGAGAAAUGAGAACAGAUAAUAAUAAACUCAUGAAUAAAAGUGCAAAGCAUUUGAAAUGAAGGUUGAUCUAUGACGAUUGUGGGUGACUGAAGAAAAAGCUAGAAAGAAAUAAGGAUGUGGCAAUUGCUUAGCAAGCAGAUAGCAGAGUACAUGCUUUGCUUUGCUUCCUUCCACUAUAUUUCUUAUUUAUUUAUUUUGGGUUGUGUAUGAGAUGACAAUAAUUGUCAUGUGUGUGAAGUGCAGAACUUGCCUACAUUGCACUCACACGAGUAUGGAUCCAUAAAUAAAACACGUGAAAUUGUUUGUAAUUCACAUAAUCAUUGCAUUAACAGGUAUUUGCACAAAAAUUGUCAUAUUGCUUUGAUGAUGUUAAAGCCUGUGAUCAGUAAUCCCUAUGCUCAUGUACUUUGUAAAAGUUGUAAUGUGCCUGGUUGACUAGUUGUGAUUGUGCAAAUACGUGGUAGUAUAUGUGUUCACGUUAUUUCACAUUGUAUUUGAGGAAAUGGGAUCCAACGUGGAGCUGGUAUGGCCAGAGGCAAAGGUAUAUUCGUCACGGGUGAACAACUGCUCACAUGCAAAUUCAUCUCUAGCUGCAAUUCGAGCGAAGUUGAGUGCGGAACAAUUAGAACAAUUCAAGAUAUCAUGCUUUGGCCAUCUUCUGAAUAUAGAUAAGAUUCAGUUUAGCGGGAAGAUUGUGCAUGGGGUUGUGUUGCGUAGAGUAGCGGGGCAGGGUGUGAAAGACUUGGAUGGACUGAGUUUCUUAUUAGGGUGUGACGUUGCUCAGUUCACUCGUCAGGAUUUCUGUUUGAUCACAGGGCUUCGUUUUGGGGAAGUGCCUGAAGUUUCCAGUGGAGAGAGUGAUGAAAUCAGACUUCAGAAAAGAUAUUUUAUAGACGAAGGAAUUACAUGCAAUGCUUUAGAAGAAGCAUUUCUGAGGUGCACAGAGGAAGAUGACAUCUACAAGCUAGCUCUUGUUUACUUUGCUGAGUUAGUGGUUUUGGGAAGGGACAAACAUUUGAACAUCAAUCUAAAUUACCUGACCCUUGUAGAGGACUUGGAUGCGUUCAACAGGUAUCCGUGGGGUUCGGUGUCCUUUGACAAAACCCAAGACAGUCUAUUUUCUGCACCAACAAAGUACGUGAAAAGCUUGGAAAAUGAAGAGGGAAGAGGGAAGGGGAAAAGUAAGGUAACGGGAACAAGCCGGAGAAAUGAGAAGGGCAAGAAGGAUAAGCAUGGUGAAGCGCAAAGGAGUGGCUGGAGUUUUAAAGGUUUCACGUAUGCUUUCUAGGUACAUGGUAAUAAUGUUCAUGUCAGUUAUGUUUUGUUUUUCUUUAAAACAUAAAUAAUGACUUUUGUCCUGUGAAUUGUGUAGAUUUGGGUAUAUGAAUUAAUUCCUAGAAUGGCGGACCUGAAUUACUGCAAGGUUGUUGAUCCGACCGCUGUCCCGCGUAUUUUGCGAUGGAGAACUACUACGUCUGUUCCAGAGAUGAGAAAGUUGAACAAUUAUUUUUUCCAGAGCAAAGAGGUUUGGUUUGCAGCCCUUGGAACUAUUGAUAAGAUUGAAUGAAAUUAUGAAGUAGAAUGAUUUAAUAUGACUCUUGUCUGUAUUCUGAAACAGUCAGUUCAGUUGCGGGCGCUAUGUCCGAGUGAAGAGGAAAUGAGACAACCAUAUUGGAGUUGGCCACAGGAUUGCCCUGCUGUUGUCUCGGCAGAGUCAAUUCCUUCUUCAUGUGGUGAUCUUGAUGAGUUGAACAAGGUGGUAAGCUUGUUGAGGUCCGAGUUGUUUCAAGUAAAGCGGGAAAAAGACGUCCUUCACUUAAAGGUCAUACGGAUGGAAAAACUGUUGGACCAAUGUUUAGGUCCUCAGUUUGAGCAGGAAGUAAGGAGGGACCUAGCUUUACUGAAACAGAGGACGAAUCGUUGUGUCGUCUCACAUCUAUUUAAGGGAUAUGGGGAAAUGGAUGACAUUCAAUGGGAUGAAGGGCCAAGUAAUAGAAAUGAGGGAGAGGAAAAGGAAGAUGAAGGGAUUGAAGGGGGUGAAGGGCCAAAUAAUAGAAAUGAGGGAGAGGAAAAGGAAGAGGAGGGGAUUGAAGGAGAGGAAAAGGAAGAGAAGGGGAUUGAAGGGGGUGAAGUGCAAGGAAAACCAAGUGAGGUAGAGGAAGGGCCAAGGAAAAGAAGUGAAGGAGAGCAAGUGCAAGUAAAAAGUAGCAAAGGAGAGGAAGCCCAAAGACAGAGCAGUGAGGGAGAGGAAGUGAAAAGAAAAAGCAGUAAGGGAGAGAAACUGCAAAGGAAAAAAAGGGAAGGCAAGGAAGUGAAAACACAAAGAAGUGAGGAAAAGGAAGUGCAAAGAAACCAAUGUGAGAAAGAAGAUAAUGAAGUUAUGUUGCUUGGGGGUGACAUUGGCGAGAGCACGAAGGGGACACUGCUUGAGUUUACUGUCGGGGACAUUGAUUUGGAUGAACCUACAGCUGUGCUAUCUCAGUUGAACGUGUGGUUGAAUGAUAAAGGUAAAGCUGUGGCACAAGGGGUCCAAUUACGGAAAAGGAAGAGGAUCAUUCCUAUGUGGAAGAUCAUUGAAGGCAGUGAAUUGGUUCCAAAAACUGGGGCACAGACAACCGGACUGAAGAUGUUAGACCCAAUGAAGGCGAUUCCGCAUGAUGAUCUGGUGAAUUUGCUGAAACUUUGUUGGGAAUGGCGCCAGGACCCAAAGUAAGUCCCUUGCAAUUAUAAGAUAGAAGCAUGACUGUAUAUAAUUUUUUAUAUACAGUGUUCUAAAACUAUUUUAUAUUCAUAGUUUGGUGAUGCAAUUUGGCAACGUGGAAGCUGAGAUUGAAUUCUUCGCUUCCCUCGUGAAAGCUGAUGGUUGGCUGAAAGGAGAUGUAAGUGUAAUUGAUUAUGCAUUUGUUUUAAUGUACAUAGAUUAUGAGAUUGACAAGAAAAACAUGUUGCAGCACAUUGAUUUGGGGUUGUAUCUCAUCCGGAAGCGACAACAACAGUUGGAGACAGAUUCGGUAGAAAUAGCGGACUGGACAACGACCGAUGUUUUUUUUAUGGUAUGUCAUCGGCCUUGACCAAGUGCCGUUAAUAAUUACACAUUUUCCAUACACACACUAGUGGAGGUGUUUAACCAUUGAUUGUUUUGUAUUUCACAGAAUCACAUUCGUACUUGCUUUGACGAUAAUAAAAGAAAAAAACAGCAGCUUGGGUGAAAAAUCAGAAAAAGUUUACUAAACGUUGUAAAUGGGAAGGUUCCUCCGUGUGGGUUGGAUUGGCAGAACGUCUAUAAGGUGUAUACUCCAUUUAUGUUGACGAAGUACAAGCAUUGGGUGGCUGUAAUGAUUGAUCUGGUAUUGUGUGAAAUCAAAGUGUACGAUUCAAAGGUUUCACUAAUUCCAGAUGACAUCGUCAAGGAAGAACUCGCCCCGCUAUCAAUUACGCUUCCAAAUCUUCUCAACACCAUCGACUUUUAUGAAGAAGGUGUUUAUGCAAACAAUUACAGCCGAGAUUGGUGGUGUCCGUGGCCAAUAGAGCGUGUGGAUGUUCCACAACAGUCUAAUGAGUAAGCACAACUUGCAAUUUAAUUUUAUUACUUUCAAUUGUCAAUUACGUUAAAAUGUCAUUAGUUGAAUUGAUCGAGUUCUUGUUUUGCUUCAGAGGCGAUUGUGGCAUGUUUGUGUUAAAGUACAUUGAGCUUUUCAGCGCUGAGCUUCCGUUAGCUACUUGCACCUCGCACAACAUGCCUUUUUUUCGGUUGAAAUUGGCUGCGGAGAUAACAAGGGGAGAUGCUUACUUCCCAUGAUAUUGGUUGAAGAUGACAAAUGGUACAUGAGAAGGUUUUGGGAAUGUCCAUUCUCAAACUAAUGUAAAUACAUAAUAGAGGGUCCUUAUCGAAUUCUACCGCUAACUCCUUCAUGACAUUUACAUGUUUGUUAACCAAACUGCAUUGAAUUGGAAUUUUAAGACUGCAUAUGUGAAUUGGGAUUUGAAGAUGGCUUUUUAAGUGUAUUACAUCAUUGCAAAGUGAUAUGUCAUUGUUGAUGCAAGCCACCAUUAAUCGCAAUGUGUUGCAUCAUAAUAGGUGUCUAAACAUGCGAAAGGUUUUCGGCAGCUCAGUAGCAUAAAAGUAGAAACAUAGACAAUAUACACAAAAUGAACAACAAUUCACAAACGCACCGACAAGCAAUACACACACAACAGACAAACAAUAUACACAAAAUUGGCCUGCCAUAUACAGAGAAUAGACAUGCAAUAUACACACAGUAGACAUGCAAUAUACACACAAUAGACAUGCAAUAUACACACAAUACUCCCUUAACACACACAAUAGACAUGCCCUUGCCCACAAUAAUGAUGCAAUCUACUUCAGUCCCCAAGUACACCAACCAUAGGGAAGUCCUAUUGAAUAUGAUAUUAAACUUAACAGUUGUUCUUCCUACUAAAAGAAAGAAUAAGGUCCGUUUCCCCCCUUCAUUCUUACUUGAGUGAUACUUGUGGCCCCAAUAAACAUCCAAUUUCGGGGCAAUGAUAUUCCAUAUACAUGCAGCAAACUAUCAAUAAACCUUCAAUAAACCUUCAAGAAACAUUCAAUAUCGUUUCUAUAACAUGCGAAAUACAUGCAGUUACCAAAUAUUACAAAAUGGGUAAAAUGGUCUCAUUGGUGGUGCAUGCAACAUGUGUUGUGCGGGAGAACUUUCACAAUCUUUUAAACCGUGCAGUUAAAUGAUCAUUAAAAGAACAAAUAAAAUGACAAUUGAUACAACUAAUAAAACUAAUACCAAGUCCUUAAUGGACUUCAGCAUGUUCAGCACUCUAGCAUCAUACGUGUCAUCUUGAUGUUCUGCUUCAGCGGAGGUUACAUCAACCCAUUCGAAUCCAUUGCAACUGGUGGCUCCCUAAUUGCAGGCAUCAUAUAUGGAAUAUAAUUCUGUCAGAGUUAGACAUACGUUUUUUUUCACCCACAUACAUAUUCUUUAAAUUAAAACUUACAUAGGAGGUUAGACACUUCUAGAAUGGCUUCCCUCGAUUUUUGUCAGAUUUUGAAACCCGAAGCACCAUUGUAGCUCCACAAUACUGACACCUCUUUGUUUGAGCGGGAGAUGAAGACGAAGACAUGUUGAAUCUUCUCAGUUGUACCUCUUCUCACUCAGAUCUUCUCACUGAAACCUCUUCGGACUCAUACCUUCUCACUCAUAGUUGUCAUUUAUACCCCUUCGCUCAUAACCCUAAACUUGUCACUCAGCUCUCUCUCAUCUCUGCCCAAAUCGAGUUCUAUUUCUUUUUUUUGGGAUCAUUUGGUGGGUUGGUCACGAUGUCGACACCUGUACCGUCAGCAUUGUGACAUCUUUUAGCCCGAAAAGCAAUAUAAACUACUUUACUACCAAAUAUAUUUUCUGAAUAAUAAGGGGACACUGCUUCAAUUUUAUUAAUUUAUUUAUAUUUCAUUAAGGCAACUAGUUGGAUAAGAAUCCGUCAUUAUUGGUUCCAUUUUAAUAACAUUACUAGGGAUAGUUGGGUGUGGGAAAAUGAAAAAGUAUAUGAUGGGACCUUCUGUCACUAGUCAGUAAUCCAUCACAUUUGUAUCAAUGAAUUUGAUAGUGGGAUAAACCCAAAAAUGGCUAUGCAAAUAGCCAUUUAAUUAACUUUUUGACUGUCUGACUCUGUAUGCACCGUUAUGACGUUUUCCCUUCUUUUGUCUUAAGUUUUAAUUCACUUGGGUUCAGUUUCUUUCAAAAGGGUCAACUUGGAAAAACCCCAACUGGAAACACCUUUUCAAAACACUAUAAACAGAGGCUAAAACAAAACGUGUACCCCCAAAUAUUAUCAUUUAUCCCCUCUGCCACUCCUCAAAUCGUUCCAUUCCAAAAACUUUUCAAUGAAUUCGAAACACUUCACUACAGUCGGAGGAAAGAGAAGGUAACAUGUCCAUUUGGAUAUGCCCGAAGCCUUCAUCCCGGAGUCCGCUUGGUUUCAAGUGAUGUUAUACGUGGCAACCGAAUCAUCGGAAGAUCUCUUCCGUAUGGCAUCUGUGUGCCGAUUGUUCCAAACUUUGGCAAACAGUCCACAAGUGUGGAACACCAUUUCAAUGGCAAAGUACCCAGACCAUCCUAUCUGGUACCGUGCCAGACCUGCGGUCCAGCAUUUCUUGCAACAAUGCAGGGCUUGCGAUAACCCUGAGUCCAUAUUUAGAGAAGCAUUCGAAGGUUUUUCCAGGCACGGUAAGGUGGAAGCGUUGUAUGGGAUGCGCAUUGCAGCCACGACAGGCCAUAUGGAAGCGGCAUAUGUAGUUGGACUACUUGGUAUGUCCGGAAUUGGUCAGUCAAAAGAGGAUGCAUUACAAUUCUUGUGUUCUUUGAAUCAACGUAACAACAUUGAUAUGAAAGGAACCAGGGAUGCUUUGACAGGAAGAUUUCGCGGAGCAUUUGUUGCAAGACAUAUCGUAGAUAUGUUUGACUAUGGGAAGAUUAAGUUCAAUCGCUGCAGCGCUUGUAACAACAAUGAAUGGUAUUUUGUUAUUCCAGGCUGGCCUAGUGAAGACAAGAUAAAUCCUGCGUUGUGGACUUGUUGCAAUCGAUGCAAAUGGCACCGUGAGAGUAUUUUUUGGUUCAAACUGAUGCGUGAGUAUGUUGUGCGAGGGAAUCACGUAUUUUUGCAUUAGUUUUAGUACGAAUUUACGGUUUUGAUGCAUUGUGGACUUGCUUCUCUUCACUUCUAGGUUGGCUGGCUACGUUGUACAAAUGUUGUUUAAAUGUUGUUCAAAUGUUGGUAUUUUGUCAUAAACCGUUUUAUAUAUAAAUGUAUAAUAUUUAUUAUAUAGCGGAAUUAUUACUUACAUCAUAGACGGCUAGGAAUGACAUUUUACUGACACAGAUAUUUUGCUCACCGACCCCAAUCUUCAUAUUUGGUAAACGAAAAGUCAUGCAUGGAGUAAAUAGGUGUCUUUUCACCAGUGCUUGGGAAUGACAUUUUCCCACUUAGCAUAUCCGAAAGGAUUUGGUUACACGUUUCUUAACCUAGGGGAUUGAACAGUGAAUGACGUAGAAUAUUUUUUUUGUGUGGAAGGAGUACAAUGGAUGACUUGUAUAUUUCCAUAUUAUGUUUCAAAACAUCCCUUCAACCUAAAAAAUAAAAGAAUUAACAAAUUGAAGAACAGAGAAACCGAUGAGCACUACAAAUGGCCUAUUCGCAUGGAAAAUAAAAUUGUUUUCAACAAGUUGGACUAAAUAUAAUUAACAAAUGGACAGCCUAAAAAGUAAUAUCAUAAUAAUUAUAAUAAUUGUGGAUAAAUAAUAAUAAAAUACUAAUGUAGCAUAACCAUGAAACACGGAAUGCAGUAGGAAGAUGAAAUCGCAAUAAGUUCGUAAAAAUUUUCGAAUCGUUUUUCUAAUUUUUGUGUAUUUAGUUCUGAAUUUUUCAAGAAAAAAAAAUAAAAUAAUAAUUUAGGGUAAAAUGGGAGGAUGUGGCCAUGUUCAGUAACGUACACUUGUGCAAGUAGUCAAAAGUGACGGGCUGAGAUCGCGGCAGGUGUCAUAUUCUUUUUAAUUUUGGAAUGUUUUGUUAAAAAAUCUUUGAAACUAGGUAAUAAAUAGUAGGAAAAUCCUAAAAAUGGCCCAAAAAUUACUCCGGCCUCCUUUUGACGUCAUAAAACUAGGAGAACCUAUAAAUCAUUCGUCUCGCAAUGAAAUAAUCCAAAUUGUUUUACAUAACUCACUUUCCUCUUAACCCUAAGUAUUGAUGUUUGUUAACUUAAACUUCAAUAAUCUACUUCAGCAAGCAUCUCCCGUUAAUGUUCGGAAAUAUUUUUAAAAAUGCGUAACAAUGAAUCGGAGAAUUCAGCAAGGGAGAUGGAGUGUCAAUGAGUUCGUAGCAAUUUUCGGAAAUAAUUUUGAAUUUUUCUGUAUUUAGUUAUGAAUUUUCCAAGAAAAAAGGUAAUAAAAUAAUCAUUUAGGGUAAAAUGGGAGGAUGUGGCCAUGUUGACUGACGUACACUUGUGCAAGUAGUCAAAAGUGACGGGCUGAGAUCGCGGCAGGUGUCAUAUUCUUUUCAAUUUUGGAUUCUUUUGUUAAAAAAUCUUUGAAACUAGGUAAUAAAUAGUAGGAAAAUCCUAAAAAUGGCCCAAAAAUUACUUCGGCCUCCUUUUGACAUCAUAAAACUAGGAGAACCUAUAAAUCAUUCGUCUCGCAAUUAAAUAAUCUAAAUUGUUUUACAUAACUCACUUUCCUCUUAACCCUAAGUAUUGAUGUUUGUUAACUUAAACUUCAAUAACCUACUUCAACAAGCAUCUCCCGUUAAUAUUCGGUAAUAUUUUUAAAAAUGCGUAACAAUGAAUCGGAGAAUUCAGCAAGGGAGAUGGAGUGUCAAUGAGUUCACAGCAAUUUUCGGAAAUAAUUUUGAAUUUUUCUGUAUUUAGUUAUGAAUUUUCCAAGAAAAAAGGUAAUAAAAUAAUCAUUUAGGGUAAAAUGGGAGGAUGUGGCCAUGUUGACUGACGUACACUUAUGCAAGUAGUCAAAAGUGACGGGCUGAGAUCGCGCCAGGUGUCCUCUUCCUAUUAUUUUGGCUUUUUUAGUGCAACAAUCUGUGGAAAUAGGUAAUAAAUUCUACGAAAAUCCAAAAAAUGCCCGGAAAAUGAGAAAAUCAAAAUUAUUUGUACAUAACUCACUUUCCUCUUAACCCUAAUUCACGUUAACACAUAUAUUUCGGAUAAUAUUCGAUAUAUAAUUUGUAAUAAUACAAUAUUUAGUUUGACUAAAUACAAUAAUAUGUUUUGUUAUAAUAAUGUACAUCCAUAAUAAUUGCACAUGCUUUGAAUCCAUCAUUGCAACUACGCCUAGAGCUUUCAAGACGUCAGUUCGUAUUCAAUAAGUUGUCCACAUGCAACUGCACCUAGAGUUAUUAACACGUCAGAAGUAUUCAAUAAGUUGUCCAUAUGACGCCGCAUUGGGAAUCAGUAAUAUAUUUUCAAUCAUGUCCAAUCACAUUAAAUAAUGCCAUACUUUUUCUCAAUAACCUCACACAAGUGAAGCAAUUUUAAAACCCUUAGUUAAUAUUUGUCCUACUCUAUAUGAGUGAUUAUAUAAUCAGUCUGCAUUAUUUUGCACAGUAUAUGUUCACUUUGAGAGGGAUUCCACAAACAUAAAAUAUAAAGAAAGCAAGAAAUAGUAGGAGAUGAACCAGUACAAAAAACAAUAUAUAAAUGGUACAUAAUAAUUCCAUAACCUUGUCACAAACGCACUCACAAAAGCAUUUCCAUAAACCUUGUCCUAACAUAUAAUAAAUAAAGGCAACAUUGCAUAUGAUGCAACCAUGUCCAAAUCUGAUACGUGAUCAACAAAAAAUGGACAUGGCAGCAACAUAUGACUGAAGUAGAUGGGCUCUUUGCAUCUUGUGUUUUCGUAAUUAAAGACAUCAAAAUAUUAAGGUUUAAAUCUUCCAUAGUAGUUAGCAUCAAAAUAGCUUUGAAGCAGAGUGUAACGAAAAUUCCAAUUCCACUGAUUUGCCUCUGCUCAAACACGAGAACCAAAAUGGUUACUUCCCUUGCUGAGUAUAUUUGGUGACGUCGGAAACGGUAAUAGAUGACCAAUCAAACCCGGGUACGACGAGUUUUGCAUAGGAUCGGAAGUAGUCGAAUCCAGCUUGCAUCACACGCUUCUUUGACUCCACUGCAUUAGAUGAGUUCUUGUAUUUUUGAACAGCUACACUCCGAAGUCGUUUGUGUCUACGCUUCAUGCGCUGCAACUUCGCCCUAUCCAGAUUGGCCUGCCUUUUGUCAUCUUCAAUUUGGCCUUCAACAAAUUCCAAACGUGCCCUUGCCCUUUGGAUUUCAUCACCAAGUUGAAGAUGCCUAUCCUUCCAAAAAGCAACAACUCUUUCAGACUCAAAACUUCCAACAAAAUGGUCAUUCUGUCUAGGAAUGUGACAUUGCUUGUCUGGUGACUCACUUACGUGUCGAAGGCGGUCUUUGUUUGGAGGGGUGUUUAUUAUGCUCACAUCAAACUUGGUUAGUAAAUCCAUUCUUUGGGGGGAAUGAGUUUGUUUGCUUGAGAGAGUAUCGGUAGAUGGAGACAGAUUCGGUGGAGGAGUGAGUUUUGUGUGGAAGGAGAAUUUAUAUGAAAGGGGUGAUAGUAAUACCAAGAAAAGGGUUCCCGCCAAAAAAUAUUUGGUUGACAAUGUAGAAAUUAUUUUUUGGUCUGAUACAAUCUAAGUUUAAUCCUAACUAGUUUGGUUGAGUUAACUAAGUAGAUGUCACUUCCAUUGACUUUCUUUCAACCACUAUCAGUGGUGGAGGUGUAAGAAGAGUGUGAGGUUGACAUGCUUGAAAAGCAAAAGCUGACACCUAUUUUUAAAAAAUUCUCGCCAAAAAGUACAUAUGUUGACUAUACACAAGCUUUGGUAUGUUGGUCUAUAAACCUAUGUUCCCUUUCUCAAACGAAAUUGCAUAGGCAAUCCUCAUCCUCCCAAAACAAAGAGGAUAAUUCAAGCAUGUCAACCUCUUCAGGCGCCAACAACACAAUCGAAGAUGACAAAUUGGAGUCGCAGGUUCUAUUUCCACAUUGUACUCGCCGACCCCUUCCUUUUUCAACAUCAUUUGGGAGUGAGGGGGACUCCGAUGAUCCAUUAGAGGCAAUACAUGCAGUCAGUGGCAAGCUGGAUUAUAAUUCCAGACUGAUCAAUUCAUGGCACGAGAAAUGUGUUGACGAGGCAAUUUUGGCUGAUCUUAACAUUAGAGUGAACAAAGCGUUCUCCCAAAAGAACAAGUACUUGAAGCUGAGUCAUAAAAGGAAGCUGAAAGCUGAGGAGUUGGAUACAGUAAUGAAUGAUGAAAUGAAAGGUUGUUUGAUGAACCAUAUGCGAUGCGAAGAGCACUAUAGUGAACUGGAGUUGGCAUUCAACGAAGGAUUCGACAAAUUCCGAGCAUUUGCGGCAACUACUCAUACAAGUUAUGAUUGGAACUAUGUGUCCCCUGAUGUUGUGAGAGAGAUACUAGACGAUGGGGGUGACAUGAAUGAGCAUAAGCACGUCAAAGCUGCUCGGAAGAAGCCGACCGAUACGACUAAGUGAUUGCGGCUACCGCUGUUCAGUUGGUUGAGGGUGACCGUGGUAUUGCACAUAUACUCCCUUAAUGUCAUUAUCUAAUUUAAAUUAACACAAAUAUCAGUUUCAUUUGAUUCAUAUAUAAUUAUUGGGACUAUGUAUUGCAAGUCAUCAUGUGUUAUAAUGUCUAACAUUAUAUUUUGCAAAUAUGGAAAUAUUAUUCAAUAAGAAGUCAAUAUCACAGCAAUCCGGGAAUCAGUAAAUGCUCCUUAUCAUGUCCAUUUACAUUAAAGAGCUGGCGUACUAAUGUGUUAAAAAAAAAACUGACACGUGAGUCAUAAGUAACAUAACAUGUGCUAUACAUUGUUUAGUGAAUGGUUUUUGGUUUAUUUAUAUAUAAUAAAAUUCCAAAUAUUGCUGAAGAUUUAUUUCGUCUAUAUCACUAGGGAUAUGAGUGGCCAUAAGCAUGUGACACCUGCUAAGAAGAAGCUGACCAGUACGACUGAGUGAUUGUGGCUACCGUUGUUCAGUUGGUUGGGGAGAUCGUGGUAUUGCUAAGAGGGAGCACAUAAUAUGUUUUGCAAUCAAAUGUUCUUUUGUGUGUGGAAUUAUGAGUAUUUAUGUAAUUUAGUGUACCCUUUAAUAUUUUUCACCUAAGUAUCGAAAUGUAAUUAGCUGCAAUGUUAUGUUUCUUUUUUACACGCUGCUUUCUAUUUGCUCUGUUCCAACAAAGUGCUUCAAGUAUCCUUCAGUUACAAAAGUGUACAAAAUCGUGCCCCUAAUAACCAAUCGGAAAAAGUGGCUACUGUUGGAAAUGAUUACUGGUAAUGGAAACAACAGCUGGCUGCUGGAAAUGCUGCAUUAGCCUGAGGAUUUGAAAAAUGAAUCUCUGUUAAAACAUAAUUCACCCUAAACUGCCCAUUUUACAUGGUAAAAGUCAUUGCUUCUUCACAUAACUACAAAUUUCAUACUUGAUCAAAUGUCUAUGAAAAUUUAUAAAUAGGGAGAAGACGUAAAAUUAACAUAUCUCCAAAUUUCAUGGAAGAAUGAAACCAAGCAAAUUUUCAUUUCAAUUACCAGUGGACAUAGUAAGAGCUCAUCGGUGGACAUGAAAAAAAAAACACAAUAAUAUUCAAAAACUGAAUCUAUAAAACUUCACCUGAUCAUUAAUCUUCAUAACAACCACAUUUCGUCUAAUACAAAUAUAAAUCAUUCAGUUGGUCCGUGCAUCCUGUCAAAAUCGUCGAAUAAUGGGUCACUACGAUGUAUUGGAGUUGAUUCGUCAUUGUUCGACGGUGAUGUCCUGCAUAAACAUCAAACACAAGCACAUAAAAAUGUUACCUAUUCAAAUUUUAGAUGUUAUUACAAAUAGUGUUAGCAUCUUACGGUGUGUUCAAGGCUGGGCAUUGUCUUCUAUCAUGACCAAUGCGUCCACACUCCCGACAGUGUCUAAUCCCUCGCUUCAUUGCCUUUUUCUUUGCUCCCGUUACUCCUUUCGACCUUCCUUUGCACCUCACUCUCUUAGGGUCUUUCAUAUAUUGUGUUUGAGAGCUGGACCCUCCAACUUCGUUAUUACUUGGUCCAUCCUUCAGCAACUUCAACUUCACCUGCAAACUUUUUAAAGUCUCUGACAGUAGCUCACAUCCUUCUUCACUCAUUAAUGCAUCCUCAACCACAUCUGAAGCAAGUCGAGACAUUGUACACCGCUUUAUUAGAAGGCCAGGAUCUGCACAGUCUUUAAUUUCGUUUCCAUUUGCAUCUGACACCAAUCCAGAUUUCGCAGUUUUCUUCCACCUCUUCAAAAUAUAUUUAUCGGGCAUAUAUUCAAUCUGGUCCCUUCUGAACAAUGCUAGGAUGUGCUUGCAAAUAAUUCCAACAAAUUCAAAUCUUUUGCAGCUACACGAUGCGUGGUCAGAAUCUUUGACAUAUACGACUUCUGCCACUCUUGUUUCCCAAUUUUUCCUUUCGCUCACGUUAAAGACAACUUUACAAGCAUCCUCUGUUUUGAGCUCUAGGAAACAUGCUGUACUUUGUAUUAGUUCUUGCUCAAACUUUUGAAACAUUGUCCUUGUGUACAAGGUAGCCAUUUGUUUGUUCAUUGGCAUCGGUAGAAGACAUUGAGCCACUUCAAAUGCAUCUACAUGAUCAGCAACUAACUCUUUUUCACGUUGAUGAGAAAGUGCCCUCUCAAAUCGUAUUAUGAAAUCCAUCAACGAAUUUCUCCUUGAUAUGUAUUGCUUGAAAAAACCAUGAGAACCUUCCGCUCUUUGGCUGCUUGACAUUCCAGCGGUAAAAAAUUGUCGUGCGUAGGCUGGAACCCAAGAUUUCCUUAAAUCAAACAUUGAACUUAGCCAUGGAUGGUCAGUCAAACCAGCCUUUGUAACCACAAUAUUCCAUUUUGCAUCAAACUCAUCCUUAUUGUCAGUAUCCCAUAUGGCUUUCUGAAAUUCACGCCAAUACUCCUUAUAAGCAUCACGUGGUAACUUAACAGAGAACUUUGAUGUGAUGUGCCAUAUGCAAAGUCGAUGAAAUGUAGUCGGGAAGGCUAUUGAAAUAGCUAUGGCCAUUGCCGCAUCUUGAUCUGUAAUGAUCGUUUUAGGUUCCCCACCUGGCAUGGCUUUCUUAAACUCCUCAAACAUCGAAACAAACGACUCAGUCGUUUCCUUGCUCAAAAAUGCGCAUGCUAAGACAAUUUUCUGACCAUGGUUAUUAACUCCCAACAUUGGUGCAAAUGUCAAGUCGUAUCGAUUCGUGUUGAAUGUGGUAUCGAAUACAACAACAUCUCCAUAAAACCCAUACGCCCGUCUAGAAGUUGCAUCUGCCCAAAAACAUCGACUAAACCUGUCAUGCCCAUCUCCCUCAAUCCUGAAAUAAAAAGCCUCAUUUUUUUUCUGUUCAGCCAUAAAAUACUCGGUCACUAGUUCAACAUCGUGGUUCCUCAGCUUCCCAUUCACACUACAUUCAAGAUUGUAGAUAUCUUUUUUGAUAAAACCGAUUUUAUCCAUUCCUCCGGAUUGCACCUCGAAAAUACUUACCUUCUGAUGAAUGGGAAUAUUAACUGAACCCAACUGUUUUGUGAGUACUUUUGUAGAAUCUGAAAUAUGACGGUGUGAUCUCAAUAAAUGCAUUCUUUCUGAGGGUGUCAUCUUAUGAUUGUGUCCCUCUGCAAAAAGAGAUAUGGUAUACUUCUUGCUCCCAUUUGUCUUCACAACCACAAUCUUAGCUUUGCAAUUGCAUCUACUUAUUCCCCGUUGUCUUUUUCUCUCCCGAGUUUCAUCCUUCCUGUAUGCACCUUGUUUGAAACAUACAAAUUCUUUCCUCAAAAUCUCUUUCUUAUUUUCCCCCAAAAGCUAGAAUGAAGUCGAAUAUCAAAGCCAGCAAAGAAUGCAUAUCUAUUAUAGAAACUGUAAACGAGGUCAAGCGAGUCAAACUUCAUCCCAACUGCUGGUGUUUCAUCAUUUCUUACUUCAGGAAUAUAAACCCUCCCAUUAGCUGUUGCACAUUCAUCACUCUCUGAGCUCCCAGACAUUUUAUCUACGUAUAUUAUUGAUCCACUUCUAUAUUACUGCAUAGUAAUUAUUCAUUCAUUAAUCAGUCAUUACUGCAUCACAACAUAUCAAUGCAUUCCACUUACACAAAACAUUGCCCAAAUUGACACAAAAUACGCAUAGCCUAACUUCCGAUUACACAAAACGCAAGCAAAAUUUCAUAAAUGUUACGUCAUCUCUUGUGAAAUAAUCUGGUAAAAAUAACAUUAGAACCAACAUGUUCAACUAAGAACACAAAUGCAAUUCAAACCACCAAUUACAGAACUUCACCCAAUAUCCUCUCCAACUGCUUACUCCUAAUGUCAUUAAGCCUAAGUUUAGGUUCUUUUACCUACAUUUCAUAAUUUUCCACCCCGACCAACAACAAUGAACUAAGUAUAUUGAAUAUUCAUAAGGAAAUGACACAUUAUUGAUUCCAAAAAUGAGGCAUUAUUGAUGCCACAAAUGACGAAUUUCCCACCCUCACAAAAAAUAAACCUAACCCAAUAAAAUCAAUCCAGCAAGUGAACUUACCUCUCAAAAUCAAUCGGGAGCUCUGCAGUCAGUCAGCUUGAAAGAAUGUGGUGGACAUUAGAGAAGACUCUUUGGUAUUUGAGACUCCAUCUCUACCAAAAUCGAGGAACAACUGCUGCUGCGGCUUCUAGCUACAAAAAGAGAUAUGCUACUUUGCUUUCAUCUGGAAUCUUGUCAGCUGAAUGAAAAAGAGAAGGGGUUUUCACUUGAGCCAUAGAAUCAAAACAGGGCAACAGCUAGGUAAGAGCCAUUCUUCGUAAUACCCAGGAUACCAUAGAUCGCAGGCCUCCCAACGAGCUAAUGACAAUCGAGUGACUAUAAGGUUCGGGAGAUUUGGAUCCUUCUAAUUGUGGGUUUGCUUUACAUUCAAAAAGAGAGGAUUGUGUUCUUCAGUUUUUCACAGAGAGGGAAAGAGGGGAACAACUGAAGUUGGGUUUCUAACGGGUUAGAUUUCAACCCGAUUCUACAUGCACCCUCUUUUAAAAAACUCACCGUUGGAUGAAAUCCAACGGCUCUUACAUACCCCUCAAAAACACCCCUUAUAACUUUCCACUCACUAUAGAAGCCCUCUGAUAUGUCAACGGGUUUGUCCACAAGAGCCCAACACAAACUCAAGCCCAGAUCACUUGAGGAAGUGACUGGACCCCAUCAAGUUGCCUAAAGCCAAUCUUCCCUGAGCCCGCCCAAGCCUAGAAAAAGUAAAGAAAGGCAACCCAGGCUAGAAAGCAACCACACAAUCGUGGCCUGACACAUCGAACCAAUCACCUCACCUUUGAGAGGCCUAAUGACACAUGGGACAAGACCUACUGUGUGUCCCAUCAAGCGUGCGCUACUCCUAAGAGGAAAUACAAAAGCAUGAGGAUCCCACUAGCCAUCCAUUUCGAAGAUGCCACACCAUCACUAGACCAACAAUCCCACAUUGAAAAGGACCAAAAAGAGGUAAAUCGAAAUCCCUACAUGCUUAAGUACAAUAUUUUCAGUCAUUCCUUGAGAAGAAUCUGACCUAGACAUCGGAAGGUGGUUGGUGAAUCCACCACAACCACCACUUUAGUGACCCCUGCCUCUCUUCCUUUUCAGGAGAUCGGAGCCACCAUCAGCAAUGCCUCGCUGCAUCGAGUGCAAGGAAAAGGAGGUCUACAUAAGUAUGCUCUUCAAAACCUGACGGUGCACACUUGAGAAAGGAUUGACCUAAUGGUUUGAACGCACUAUGAUUGAUGGUGCGAAAACCAAGCAUCAACAAUAACUAUUGACUUACACAUAAAAGAAAAAAGAAUUAUUGACCUAAAAUAAAUCAAAUAAUUAGUAAAAGGAUAACAUAAACGACAUUAAAAAAUUUGAAAAUUGAGAACUACAAAUAUUAGCUAACUCAUCAUAAGCUUGCUGUAGUGUCAACAGGAUCUAGCCCAGUAAAGAAGGUCCAAACCCUCAUGAUACCUUGUAGUGUGUGUGUGAGAAAAUCCCCCUCCCUCUUUUUAACAUUUCAUAUGUAAGUUCUAGAUACUUGGAAUGGUUCAUGUAGCAAAGGAAUUUUAAAUUUGUUUUUGUUUGUUUGUCCUGUAUGCAAAGGCAGAGGGAGGCCUAGGCUAAAAGUGGCAUUGGGCCUCAUUUUAUCCCUUUAGUAUGUGUAUACUAUAUGGAGGAAGAUAAUAAGAAAAAAUGAUAAAAUUUCAACUUACACUUCCCACCCCCAAAAGAAAAAACAUUCAAUCUCUACCUGUGUGUACGAUGAAAUCACCAAAAAAAAAACUACAACCACAAUAAAACUUCUAGCAUUAGUCGUUCAAUGUAUGUUGAUUGGUUAUGAAAAGUGACAUUGUCCUUUUCUUGGUUUAUACUAGCUCUUCAUUUAAUGUAUGUUGUAGGAGAUGCUAAGUUCGAAUUUCACUUUCCUAGGAGGAAAAAAAAAUUGACAUAGAAGUAUCAUGACUUUGGUAUGAAAAGGCCACAAAUUAGAAUUUUUUAUUUUCGAAGUGUCUAAUCGACAAAAAUCAACUAACUAUUGAUUUUGGUAAUAUUUAUUUUCUCAAUUCAGAAACACAUCCCAUAUUCGAAUCCAUCUUUAGGAGCUAUUGUCCUUGAACUUUGUAUCCACUUGAGCUUUAGUUCCUCAACUCUAUUUUCGUAUGUAACAAAAGUGGAGUAACUUUUGUUACAUUUUUCCUUCAAAAUGUGGGGCAAAUUGGUCAAGGACGGAUCUACAGUUGGGCUGGAGUGGGCUCCAGCACAUUCCUGAUUUAGUAAAUAGGCUUAAAGGUGCAGGCUAACAUAGGAAUUUUAGAAACCAGCCUACCCUUCUAUGCAUAAGUCAGCCUAUCACUCUAAUAUAAAAAGAAGGCUACCCAACGAAAAUAAUAGAACAAAAGCCUCCAACCAUCUGACCAAACAAAAAACACGCCUCCAACCAAGAAGUAAUCCAAGCCAAACAGAAAAAAAAAAUUUAAUAAUAAUAAUUGCCUAAAAGCCUAAAAGCACGAGAGAAUCAAAGAAGAAAUGACUCUCUUCCUCUCCAAAAUUGUGUCAAUAUAUCUUCAGUGGUUCUUCAAUCUUAGUAAGUUUCUCUCUUUAUUUUUAUUUUAAUUGUUAUUGUUAAGUUUUUAUGAUUUAGGUUUUGUUUGUUAAAUUUUGAGUCGCGCUAGGCGCGUGAUAGGAAAUUUUUUUAAAACAAAUUAUAAGUUGCGCUACGCACGUGAUAGGGAAAGUCUCCUGUACGCGCGUAGAGAUGCCAGUUGCUAGUAAAAAUUCUGGAUUCGUCCUUGACAUUGGUCCUUUUAAGUGUUUAGUCUUUUUUUUCUUUUUUCUUUUUUCUUUUUCCUAAAUUAGUUUAAAUUAAAAUUUAAACAAUUAAAAAAAAAUAAAAAAACAAAAAAACAAAAAACUCAACCCUCAACCCUCUAUGCUCUCUGUCUUCUUCUCUAAUAGGGUUAGGAGUUUCUCUAUCUUUUUUCUUUCAAUUUUUGCUUUCCCUCUCUCAACUUCAAUGGCGUUGUGCAUGUGUGUCUGGAUAAUUUUGGGCGGGGAGUGGGUGCAGUGGUAAAAUUGGGUGGGCCCUGAUUUGGAAUAGGGCAUGUGGUUGUACGGACUCUGCAAGGUAGACCGUUGGUUUCGAUGAUGGAUUUUUACAUAACACCAGAAAACUUUAUGACCAAAUAAUAAGCAAUUAUAUAUACUGUGGACUUCGAUGAUGGACUUUUUUAAAUUUUUUAUUUUAUUUUAGAAUUAAAAAAGAUAAUAGGUAGUUGUGUUUCAUAAAAAUAGAAUUCAUUAUCUGAUUUUAUUUUUUAUUUUUUUUAUAUGAAAAGUGUGAAUUUAUCAUAUUAUCCUCAUUUAAUUUAUAAUUUCAAUUCUUAAUUUUUGCAUUAAGCAAUGACAUUUUCUGGUAUUUUAAAUGUAGAGAAAAUAUGGAGAGUGGAGAGGGAGAGAGCUUCGGGUAUUUUUCUCCCUCAUUUUGACCGAAAAAAGGUAACAUAAGUUGCUCCAACACUUACGUGUGCACAUAUCCAUUUAAAUAUCAUUAAUAUAUCGAUAAUGUUAGAGGCGAUAAUUUCCAACUCGUUCAUGCUUUAUUUGGACAAUAUAUCGCGAUAUUAUCGAUAAAUAAAUGAAAAUUUUUGAGAAAUGGCGGUUUCGCACACAAGGAGAUUCGAACCCCUCUCUUUCUCAUCCACCUACUGAGCCUUAUCCAACAUGCUGCAAACGAGUUUGUUAAUAAAGCUACGACGUGUAAUAUUUAUAUGGUCCUAAAAAUUUCUGCAAGCUAAUAUUAUCUAGGAUAAAUUUCAAUAUAAAAAAAUCCCUGAUGAUAAAUUUAGGCAUAUAUUUAAUGUUAUUUAUUAUUUUAUUAUGGAGUUGCAUUUUUUUUGGGUUAUAUAUUAUGGAAUUGUACAGUCCCGAUCUCUUGGACCACAGGAGUCCAAGAGAUUUGUGGUCACUCCCCGUUGAAUGUAAAUUCAACGGUUCACUCAAUCUUAAACUCCUUUUAAGAAACUUUUUUGAACCAUUAGAUUAAUAUCCAACGGUGAGUGACCACAAUCUCUUGGACUCCUGUGGUCCAAGAGAUCAGGACUAUGGAAUUAUAUUAUUAUUCACUAUUGAGUUUUAAUAUUGUUCAUUAUAUGUGAUACUAAGUUUUAACUUUAAUAGGAAUUCUUUCUAUGUGGUACUAAGUUACUUAUAUAUAUAUAUAUAUAUUUUUUUUUUUCAAAGUCAUAUAUCUUAUCAUAUGUAAUAUAUUGUAGUAAAUUAUUAUAACUAAAAAAUUAUGGUGUGUUUAAUUUUCUUCACUAAUUACUACAUAUUUUCUAAAGACACAGUGUUUGUCAGAUUGCUACAUAAUCAACUUAAAUCACUCAAACUCAUCAUGCUAUGCAUUUUAUUCCAAAUUUUUGUGAUAAAAUAAAAGAAAAUUGACUAAAUAAACAUCCUUUAAAGUUUCAAUAAAAAAAUUUCAAAUUUUUCUCACAAUUUCUAUAAUUUUAUUCAAUUUUUAUCGAUAUUUGUAUUAAUAUAUCCGUAUUUUUAGACACCGAUAUUUUCGAAACUCUCGAUAUUUUAGCCCUUAUUCGGGAUCAUAACUGCUAGAAAGCAUUUACUGUAUAUAUAUUUUUUGUUAAAUUUGUCAUCGUGAUCGAGUUAAACGAUCCCAAAAGAAAAAUAUCUGGACUUACAAGACGUAACCUAUAAGGGGAAGAGUGCCACAAUUUUAGAUAUUUUUUAUUUGACAACAAUUUUUCUUCAUGGAAGUAUCACGAUUUUGACAGUGGCUAGAGAGCAGUUUUCAAAGAGUUAUGGCUUGAGCAGUUCUGGCUGAGAAUAAUUCAAAUUUUUUUAUUCCUUCGUCGCUGUACAGGUGUGUAGUGAUGGAGACGAGACGAGUCAUGAUCGACAAAAAGUUUGAAGAAAAGAGAAACGUGGAAGCUUUAUGUAGGCAGUUUGGUCUAACUGCAUACUUAAAACUCCCAGAUUUAAAGCCAACACAGUAGCCAGUGAAAAAAAGUCUUAGAACAGACUAAUGAGAAAAAGUCUUGAACAGAUUAAUAAUUUCAAGUUCAAAUCGCUAUGACAAAGAAAAAGCCAGACUUACUCUUCGAAAAGAAACUUACAAGUCUAUAAUAAUAUAUAAAAGCUGGCAAUUUUAUUGCUUAUGGAACACAUACAAACUUUGGUCUUCAUAGUAAUAUUAUUCUCACACACACAAAGAAAACCAACAUCAACAUUAAUUUUUUAGUGACUAGACAAAUUGCAAAUUAUAUGCUAAACGUCGUACUUGAUUCCUAUCCGGUGCAAAGUUGCAUCAACUCCUCCACCACCCCAUCUCUCUCUGCAUCCUCUUUAUUUUUCAUGUUGUCUCUUAAUUCCAAUGCUUUUUUUCUCACACCCUCUCCAAUUUUAUCCACCACCACAUCUCUAAUCACCUUUGCUACCUCUUCACUUUGGAAACUGCCUUCUGCUGUUCUCUUAACCUCCACUCCAACACCCACCUCCUCCACUAGUCUAGCGUUGAUUGGCUGGUCAUAAAGCAUAGGCAAGGCUAUAAUUGGAACGCCAAACUUGAUGCUCUCCAACACUGAGCUCCAUCCACAGUGACUUACAAACCCACCGACACUAUAAUGCUCCAAUAUUUUUGACUGCGGGGCCCAGCCCUCCACUAUCAUUCCCUUCUCUCCCACCCUCUCUGAAAACCCUUCUGGUAACACCUCUUCAACCCUAGUACCUUUCUCUUCCUUAGGAAAUCUUAUAACCCAAAUGAAGCUCACUUUGCUAAGCUCUAACCCAUGAGCUAUGUCUUCUAUUUCCUCCUUGGACAAAAAGUACUCACUGCCAAAGGAAACAUACACAACUGAAGACCUCUCUCUUUUGUUCAGCCAUUUCAUGAUCCAUGUUUCCUCAUCAAGUGUUUGACCCAUGGGGUCUUGAACAAGAGGACCAACCGGAACAAUCUUCUUCUUCACUAAAUCAGAGAGAUAAUCAACAUAUUUUGCUUCAAUCUCUCUAGAUGUCUUUACCAAAAUGAUCUUACAAGAUCGAGCACAGCAUUGCUGUAUGCGGUCUCCAUCCUUGAUGCCAUUUGAUGAAAACUCACACUGAUUGUGGAACUUUCGAAUAUCGUAAUCCCGAAGAUGCAAAGGAAAUUUGGCAGUAGGAUUGUUGAGAUCGUGAGCACAAACUGAACUCAAGAGCGCAGCGUUCAUGAUGCUGAACUCUAUGGCUGGAAUAUUUUGCAACAAAGCAAGAGAGGGUGCCCAUGGUUGAAGAAAAUCGUAGAUGAGCAAAUCCGGCUUUAGGGUUUUGAGGAUGUUGGAGAAGUUGGGGCUGGCCAUGUCAAAGGUCUUUUUGAGAGUGGCCAUGAGAUGGGGAGGGAGGCCAUUGGUAGUGUGGUAAUGAGGUGGCAAGUCAUCAUGUGGAAGAUGUAGUUCCACAAAUUCAAUGCAAUGAGAGUAUUCUUCAGAGAGUUUUGGUUUGAUGGAGCUGAGAUUUACGGGUGUGGAACAAAUAAAUAUGUAAAAAUCCUUGUUCUUAUUGGUGAGCUUCUUG
rnacentral:lncRNA from 1 species